rnacentral:lncRNA from 1 species
CACCAAAGCUGAAUUCCCAGUUCAGCACAAAGCCCAGAGCUGCAACAAUUGUAUGCUCUGCUAAUUCUCCCAACCAAAGCACAUCAACCUCAGAGCAACCUUCACCACCAUCACUCAAGGCAUUUUCUGCAGCUCUUGCACUUUCUUCCAUUCUUUUAUCGGCCCCGGUGAUGCCCGCCUCGGCCGACAUCGCUGGCCUCACACCAUGCAAGGAGUCCAAGCAAUUUGCCAAGCGCGAGAAGCAAGAAAUCAAGAAACUUGAGUCAUCCCUGAAGCUUUAUGCCCCUGAUAGUGCUCCUGCUCUUGCUAUUAAGGCCACUAUCGAGAAGACCAAGCGCAGGUUAGUAUUGCCUGCAAUUUUUUUUCAUUUCUUUUCACCCGUGAGCAGACCUGCAGGAAGAGUUGAAAACUGUGUUCUGAAAUGUUGAUUGGGUUUGCAGGUUUGAUAAUUAUGGAAAGCAAGGGCUGUUGUGCGGAUCGGAUGGAUUGCCUCACUUGAUUGUGAGUGGAGACCAAAGACACUGGGGUGAAUUUAUCACCCCAGGGAUUUUGUUCCUGUACAUUGCUGGAUGGAUUGGGUGGGUAGGCAGGAGCUACUUGAUUGCCAUCAGGGAUGAAAAGAAACCAACAGAGAAGGAGAUCAUCAUUGAUGUCCCCUUGGCCUCGAGACUCGUGUGGAGAGGAUUCAUCUGGCCCGUCGCCGCCUACAGAGCGUUCGUGACUGGAGAUCUCAUUGACCCUACUGUCUAAAUCCAUUAUCAGGUUAUUAAUCUACCCUUUUCUUUUAACCAUUUUUACUAUAAAAGACAGAAAUUACUCAGCCCUUUGUGGAAAUUUGACUAGCGGUAUCAACAAGAAGUUUGAAAUCACAAUGUUUCAACCAUGAACAAGUUCACAGGAUCUUGAUGAUGUUGGUUGCUAAGCUUGCUACUAGAAAUGAGUUUCUUAGUUAUCAAUCCUUCUGUAAGAAUAACUAAGCUUACUACUAGAAAUGCAAUGCAAAAAAUGUCACUCAUUUUUGUGGUUAUGACUUUUAUCAAGUGCGUUAUUUGGCUGUUCUUGUAUAGUUUAGGCACAGACAUGGAACCCCAGCGACCGAAGAUGAAGUGAAAGGCUUGAAUUUUGGAUCUUGCUCGGGAAAAAAAAACAGAUGAUGGAAAAAUUCUUGUAUCUGGAAGUUGUAAACUCAAAUGUAUCUAUUCGUUUCUUUGGAGUGACACCAACCAAUAGAAGAUGCUUAAUUUUCUUUUGGGUGAUCAAUCAAUUCUGAGUAAUGCAUGUCCAGUAUUUCAUUUUUUUCACUUUUUUGUUUCAUUUUGUUUCCCUUUUAACUCCUUUUCCCUGAUUGUGAUGUGAUGAUGAAGACAUCAGAGACUAAUGGGGGGAAAUUUAUGUCGGAUUCUCAACUAAACUGAAGCAAUUAACCAACAGAUAUCUAGAAAUUGUACAUAGAAGAAGAACAUAUUCUAUAAUGCAAGAUAUACAUGCCAGUAAAAUGGAUCAGUAGUAUUCAUUGCUGUACAUAUAAGGCAUAUGGGAUUCACUGGGAUGAAUAUAAGCCAUCCCUUCAGCAACAUCAUCAGCAAAAUUUCCCAUCAAUUUAGACAGUGAACUGAAUCUUUAGACACUCGCAGCAGCACUAACCAGCAUAACUUUGAAUGUUUUCCUCCUCUAUAUGUGUGUUUGUCAUGUGUCAGAUGGUGGGAAAAAAAAUAAUGUCAGAAGAUACUAUCCACUUCUUCCUCUAAUAACUCCACUUCUGAAAUUAACUCAUCAGCCAAUUGAAAGCAAUCUGCUAUAGACAAGAUGCAACUAAAAACAUGUAUUUUUUUUAAAAAUAUAUAUUUCUAUUGCAAAUCUUCCUAUCCAAACAAACUCAUAUAUCUCUUCAAAAGAUAAAUGCAUUUAAUUACCGUUUGGAUUGGUCAUUUUUUCAAAAACAAGUUUUUCAAAUACAAUGCUACAGUAAUACACAAUAACUCAAAAAAACAUCUCAUCUAUAUAAUAUAUCAAAUAUUUCAAAAAAAAUUUAUAGUAAAAAUUUUUCAUAUACAUUGUUACAGUAAAAUUUUUCAAAAACACUUUAAAAAACAGAUAAUCCAAACGGAAACACCUUGACCUAGGUCUCUAAGGGCCAGUACAUCAAUCGCUAACAUGUCCGGCUCUAAUUUAUUUUGGUCCUUGCAACGCUCGUACAAGUUAAAGGUUGUUUGUGCAACUUUUUAGACUUAUUUGUGCAAGUUUAAGAUACUUUGUGCAAUGCUAGUGGUGGCAAAUAAUUGAUUGAAAAGUUAACCAGACACUACUAGAAAUUGUAUAAAAUUUGAAAAAUUAAUUGCUAUGUCAUUAUACUCAGGAAAAACAGGGCAACACAAAUUAAGGAAUCAUAAUAAAACUAACAGAAAAUCAUAUGUAUGAAUAUAUUCAUAAGAGAGAACAAAUGCUCUUGCAGAUUUUGGUCAAUCUUUACCAGAUAAACUCUUGCAGUUUAGGUAGGAUCAAGACUCAGCAUUGUUUAAACUAUCAUCUUCAAUAUCACAAAUAGGAAGGUCAUCCAAUUUGUUGAGUUCACUUUUAACCUAAUACCAUAAUGAUUGUCCACAAUUUGUUAACAAUACAAAUUUUUAGAAUCAACCAUUAUUCCUCCUGCAAAUUAAACUGGACAAACUGUCCCCUUUGGCAAAAUCAUUAUUGCCUUCAAAGUCCAGACUUUGCAAGAUGUUUUAGAUUUCAUUGCAAAAUAGACCUCUUAAUUAAAAAAAAAAAAAUUCUUCCUUGAUCCCAUCAUCCAAAUCAAGGGAUAAACAUUUUGGGUUUCUCUCAAAGUUUAUCAGCAGAUGACAAAUUAGCCAAGAAAACUGCCUAAUAAAUACCUAAAAUAUGAAAAAUGGGUGCUAACAUGGUAGCAAAUGAACGGCCAAAAUUUCACUAGGAAAGUCCUUCAAUUUUGUUUUCUUUCAUCCAAAAUUCUCUGCCUUACGUUUCUUGUCACAAAAGUUGCACAUACUCACAACCACAUAUAACAAGAAAAAGUUAGUAAGUAAGGUUGCUCAUUUACCAAAAAAGAAUAAAUAAAUAAGGUUGCUUGGCAAAUUAUCCUUCCUCCUCAUCAAUUUUCUUCCAAUACCACUUUCACUAGCCCUUCGUUAUCUUAAAAAAUACAUAGACAAUGCCUAAUCUUUAAACGUGAGAUGUAUAUUGUUGAAUUUGCAAAUAAAAAUUUAGUCUAGUGAUGUGCAUAAGUAUGCUUGUCCUUUUCGAUCCUUUUCUUUAGAAACAAAAUAAGUAUUUUAGACAAAGUCUACGGCAAUUUCUUUUUCUUUCUUUUUUUAAGCCAUAAAGAGUAGAGAUUCAAGAAAUGAGAAAGAAAAAAAAAACCUAUAAUAAGUUUAACAACAAAAAAAAAAAGGAAAGUAACAAAAACAUACGCCAUCAUUUAAUUAAAUUAUGAUCUGUUUUCCCUCCACCAUCACCCCCUUCUUGCACACCACCUUUUCCUCCUCCUCCUACCCUUUUCGCCAGUGCCCCUCUACCAUGCUUCACCCCUUUUUCCUCCUACAUUUCCCUUUUAAGUUCUAUCUUCCCACCUUGCAAUACGCCUCCCACCUCCUCUCCCCCUUCUUAAUGGAUGUAAGGGGAUCGAGUGAGAAGUGGGGAGAAAGAGUAGGAAAGAAGUGGGCGGAAUGCCAGGGAAAGGCAUUCAAUUUAUUUAGAUUGAAGAUUUUGUGCAUAAAAAAAUCAUUUACAAUAAUGCUUUUGUAAUAUAUUGUAUCUGAAGAAAAACAAUUUAAAAUAAUAAAAUGGUGAUGUAAUAAUAAUUUAGAAAAUCUCCAAAAAAAAAUUUCCGAAAAGGUUUUUGUCCAGACAUUAUUGUAUUAUGCUAUAGAAUGAACUGUAGAAUUCAUAAUGUACUUAAUUUUUGAAUUUUUAAAGUGAAAUCUCAACAAUGUAUGUAUUUUUUUUAUUACUAACUCCACAUGCUAAGAUUUAGUAAUUUUAUUUUGAAAGAUAAAUUAAAAGAUUUGUAAGUGUACUUAUUAAUGCAUUUAAAUUAUAUAUAACUUAUCAUGUUAUUACAUGUAUUCAAAUCUACCAUACUUUUUUUAUAAGAGAAUUAAUAAUAGUUCCCUAUUUAUUUCCUUUGAUUACUCGAACUGAUGUAAAAUGUUUUACCAAUUGGGUUACGUUUUCUUGUCAAUUAAUAAAAACAAAAAAAAAUUAUUGCACCCUUACAUCUGUGUUUGGAUUGUAAUUUUUCAAAAAAAAAUAUUAUAUUUUGCGUAGAUACAUUUUUUAAUUAUUUUUUUAUUUCACGUAUUUUAAAUUAUUAUAAUAAAUUUUUUAAUAAAAAAUUCAAAAAAAUGCAAUUCAUACAAACCAAUCACCAAUGCCUCCUUGGCCAAAUCCAACACAGUCAACUUUACGAUGUCAAAUCAGAUGAAUUAUUACUACUAUAGUUAGUAUUUUAAGUCCUAAUUUUAACAUCUAAAAAAAAUAGGUCCUAAUUUUAAAAUACUCCAAAUUACAACAGUCAAAUCAAAUCUUGUCCCAUUCAAAAUCUGCUAUCGUCAUGUCACUUCACUUCCAGUGAAUUAACAUCAAGGCCACAAGGAAUUCCCGCCAAUGCCCAUGGAUUAACAUCGGAUUUCAAACCCAAUAUCUAGCCAAAAUGCAUGUUUCACGCAGAAUCCGCAAGGCAUCAUACACAAAAUGCCGCCUUGUUUGGAUCAUGGGUCUUGGCGGAAAAAUUGUUACGUGUUUUUGUAAAUAAAAUUUUAAGUAUUUUUUAAUUUAUGUAUAUUAAAUUAUUAUAAUAUAUAUUUUUAAUAAAAUUUCUAAAAGUAUCAAUUCGAAGAAUAGGCUUAUUGUUUUUUAAGGAAAUUUAUUUUACGUUUUUUGUGAGUAUAUUCUUGUUUGAAUUGUACUUUUUCUUAUAAAAAAUUUCUAUAUUUUUCAUAAACAUAUUUUUUAAUCACUUUUUUACAUUGUAUAGAUCAAAUUAUUAUAAUACAUUUUCUAUAAAAAUUUUUAAAACUAACAAUUCAAAUAGGCUUGUAAUUUAGAUUAUUAUUUUAAUUAUUUUAAAAUUGUUUAUAAAUAUAUUUUAAAAUCACUUUUUUAAUUGAUGCAGUCCUUUUGAUAAAAACUCCAAAAGAUAGAUACAAAAAAUAUAUUAAUAUACAUAUUUAUAUAUAAAUAUUAUAUACAAAAAAAUAUAUUUUGUUUAAUAAAUAUAUAAAUGAAUACAUAAAUAUUAAUUCAAAAAUUAAUAUACAAAAAUAUUUAUAUAUAAAUAUUAUAUAUAAAAAAUUUAUUUUGUUUAAUAAAUAUAUAUUUAUAUAUAAAUAUUAAUACAAAAUAUAAAUAUAUAUAAUUAAAUAUAUUUAUUUUUAUUUAUGUAAUUAUAUAAUUAUAUUUAAUUAUAUAUAUUUAUAUAAAUAAUAUAUUUAUAUAUAUUUAUAAAUAUAUUUAUUUCAAUUUUUUUUAUUAUAUGUAAAUUAAUAUAUAUAUUAUGUAUAUUUUGAUAUUUAUAUUUCAAUUAUGAAUAUAAGAUAUAUAUAAAUUAUAGUAAUAUUAAUAUAUUUCAAUUAUGUAUAUUAAUAUGUAUAAUAUAUAUAUUAUAUCAAUUGAAAUAAAUAUUAUACUUUUAUAUAUUAAUAUAAAUAUUUUGUUUUAAAAUAUAUUUAUAUAUAUAUUUAUUUAAAUAUAAAUAUAUAUCUAUAUAUAUUUAUAUAACUAUAUAAAUAUAUUUAUUUAUAUAUUUAUAUAAAUGUGUAAAUAUAUUUAUUUCAACUUUGUUUUAUAAUAUGUAUAUUAAUAUAUAUUAAUAUGUAUAUUUCAAUUUGUAUAUUUCAAUUAUGUAUAUUUUAUUACAUAUAUAAAUUAUAUUAAUAUUAAUAUGUAAUUUAAAUUAUGCAUAUUAAUAUGUAUAUUAUAUAUAUUAUAUCAAUUGAAAUAAAUAUAUGUAUUUAUAUAUAAAUAUUAAUAUUUGUUUAAAAUAUAUUUAUAUAUAUAUAAAUAUAUACAUAUCAAUUUUAUUUUAUAAUAUGUAUAUUAAUAUAUAUUAAUAUAUAUUUGUAUAUGUAUAUUAAAUAUAUAAUAAUAUACAUAUUAAAAAACAAAAUUGAAAUAAAAAUAUUAUAUAUAUAAAUAAAUAAACAUUAAUAUAUAGAAACAGACCCAGUAUAUAUUUAAAAAGAAUCUCAACAAAAUUUUAAAUUAUAAAAAUAUUUAAAAAUAUCUCUAAAAAUAAUCUAAAAAUAUCUACAAUAAAAGUUAUUCAUAUACAAAGUUACAGUAAAAUAUUUGAAAAACUCCCUCCAAAAACAGCUAAUCCAAACGGGAGCCCGAUUCGACCAUUUUGUCUCUUCUUCCCCCAUGCAUGAAGUUUCCUGACGGCUAAGUCUACACGGAGGCAUAUGCACCGCCAAAAACCUCCCCAAAAUCCUAGUACUAUGCUAAUCCUCGUACGAUCUUUUUGUCUUCUACCUUUACCUUCUUCCUAGGCUGAUUUCCCUAGGACCCUUUACUAUAAAUCGUCCUUCCAGCUUGAUUUCAACUAUCAUGACAGAGAUAAUCAGUUUCUUGAUUUCGUGUUGGCAAAAAGGUUAGAUUUUCGUGUUGGUUGUUGCAUUUCUGGGAUAAUCGAGAAUUUUUCAAGGAGCUUGGCUGUGAAUUCGAGGAUGGAUUCGGAGAGGGAGCUUCAACACAAGCUGAUUAAUGCUGGGGUGAAGCUUCUGGUGCCAAUCUCUUCUACCGAUGAUCUCCUUGCCUCCCUCGAUGUAAAGAUCACUUUUUCAUGAGGCAUCUGGAAGAUUUAGAGAUUGGCUUGGCUUAUUUCCUUUUUUUUUUUGGGCUAUGUUGCAUGCAUGCGCAAAAUCAAAUAUAAAAGUUUUGGUUUUUGUCUCUUGAGUGCUUUUGUUGAUUUAGUCCUUGUUGAUUGAGAUUAUUAAAUCCUGUUUUGUUUGUAUCUUGGUGAUUUUGCUGCUUAAUAAUGUAAACUUUUGUUGGGUUUGCUUCUGUAAAGUUCAAAAUUAAUUGCACAUAGUAACAAUAAUUGAUAGAAAUAGGCUUGCACCAAGCACGCACGAGGCACAGAGUGUUUGAUCCUGUAGGUUCAAUGUUUAUUUGAUAGGUUACUUCUCCCUAAGAAAUGUUGUUAAUCGAGGCUUUCGUUUUCUCUGAUAAACGUUCUCUUUUCACGAUUCAAAACUGCUGGCUUACUUCUGCGUAUUAUUUUAUAUUCGAGAACUCUUUUCUGUCUGAUGUAAAUUAAUUAUUAUCUUCUUUUUCGUCCUGUUGUUUAGAAACUAGAGGGCCUUUUAUCGGUCCUAGGUCAAGAUCCUUUCAGUUCGAUACGAGAUGCACUGUUGCCUUCGAUGAAGGCUCUGAUCUCUGAUAGGCUGUUUAGACAUCCUACUACGGAGGUCAGGAUUUCGGUUAUGUCUUGCAUCUCUGAGGUGUUAAGAAUCACAGCUCCACAUCAACCUUACGAGGAUGAAAAAAUGAAAGUAAGCUGAAGAACCUAUGGUGGUAUUUAUUCUUGGUUUAGUUGCAUCUGCGCUUUGUAUUCUACACUUAUUUAGAACUCAGUUGUCAGCCUUUGCAUUUUGAUGGCGUGCAGGAAGUUUUUCAGCUAACUUUAGCUGCAUUUGAGAAGUUGUCUCUUUUAUCUGGUCGCUGUUAUUCUAAAGCUUUGCACAUUCUUGAAAUUGCUGCAACGUUCAGAUGCUGUGUUAUCUUGCUGGACCUAGGCUGCAAUGCAUUUGUCACUGAAAUCUUCGAACUCUUUCUAAGUACCAUUAAGUAAGUCUAAAAUCUUAUAUUUUAUUGACAAAAUCUUCUAAUUGACUGUUUGUCCUCUUUGGAUCAUUUAGUAAUUGCUAUCGUUCAGCUUUUUCAAAGUAACUCUAGUACUGGUAGUUACAAUACUCUUUAAUUUGAAGUUACUAGAUGUGUUACAUUACCUUCAACCUUCUUUCCUGAAUAUAUGAUCUGAUUUUCGCUUCAUGAAUUCCUCAGUGGCGGCAAAGGUUAAAAAAUUGAUGAGCUCAUGGGAAAACCUUUUUGAUGUGUUGUUGAGUGAUUAAAUCAUGGUCUCUAAUUCGAACAAUCAAAUUAUGAGUGUUCAUUUGUUUGUCUUCCACCUGUGUUGUACCUAUCAACAUAUUAAACUAUCAUGUGCUGAUAGAUACUCUUAUGUUUGAAUGUUAAAUACAAGGUUCAACCACCCGCAUGCUGUAUUCUCCAACAUGGCAGAAAUUAUGACUUGUCUUAUAGAUGCAAGUGAUGAAAUUUUAUUAGAUCUUCUAAAGCCUCUUCUGAAUAGUGUGAAAAAGGAAAAUCAGGUACUCUUCCUUGUAUAGAUCUCUGCGUCAUUUGUUCUCCAUUUUUUUUAAAAAAAUAAUCUGUACUCAACCACCUUUGUUGUUUGCCUCAGAUUACUUCACCAGCUUCCUCUUGGCUAGGAGAGAAAGUACUAAAGAACUGCUCAACUAAAGUCAAACCUUAUCUCAUGAAUGCAUUGAAGUCAAUGAGUCUAGAUAUUAAUGAUUAUGCCGAUAUAGUUGCUUUGUUAUGCCGAGAUAUGCCAGCUGGGGCCAAUGUGGUGCGACAUUUUUCUUUCGUUCAACUGGACCUUUUUUUUUUUUUGGCAAAAGGCAGAUAGGUUUAUGAUUUUAUACUGUCUCCAAAAUUUCAUACUUCUCUUGUAAUUUAUCUUGCUCCUUGUAUUUGUGAAUGAUGGAAAUAUGUUUGGACUUCCUUAAAGUUGUUGUUUCCCCCCACUGUCUAAUACGUGAGAUGUUAAGAAAUAGUCUAUAACUCUAUAUUCAUCUUCCUGUAACUCAUAGAAAAACCAGAAAUUGUUCAGGAAGAGAAUCAACAUCAGAAAAUGAUUGUUGCUAUAGAUUUUCAUUUAAAAUUAAGCUGUGCUUGAGAUGUCAGACUGAUUCUGUUGCUUCCAAUGCAUCAUAGGAUCGUUAGUUUUCAUAGUUGAAGUUCUGUAAAUCGAAUUAAUGAGUCUAAUUUUUCCUAAAGAUUAGGAAAAUGCUCUUUUAAGCAAAAUUAGUAGAUCAGGCAGCUGAAAUGGUUGAUAUUCUCCUGUUGGAAUUGCUCAGUCUAGUAAGACUAUUUAGAAUCUGGUUUUGUUCUUUGUUGCUUCUUCACUAUUCUUUCUGCUAUUUAAAUGUUUGUGUUGAAAUGAAGAGACUGGCUUUAAUUUGUCAAUCUUAAUUUAAUCAGGUGAUGGAGGAGUCAGGAAUGACUGCUGCUGACCUUGUGCAAGAUGAAGCUCAGCUUUGCAAGUCACUGCUAGAUGAUUGCACAGCUCAGGAGGCAUACAGUGAUGAUAAUGGAUCAAAUGAUAGGAAUUCUUCAAAGCUAUUGCAGAGCCAUGAACAAGUUGUUCAGCUGAAGAGCAUAGCUAAAAGAUCUGUUGCCCCUGGAGCUUUAGACGGUGGAGGAGAAAUGCAAGCAAGAGCAAGAGUACGAGUCAUGCCAAAUAGAAGGGGAAGAAAACCCAAUUCUCUGAUAAAACCGGAGGAAGGUUAUGAAUAUUCUGGGAUAACUGGACACCGAGAUUCUCACAGAAUACCUUGUAAGAAAAAGAAUCUUGGGAAAGUUAGCAGCUUACCGAGUAAUUCAUCUGCAACGGAGUCUGUUUUGCAGCCUGAAGCAGAAAAGGAUGACAAGCCAAGUUCUUUUCCGCCAAGAACGUUACAUUUUGACAGCAGAUGUGCUCCCAUUUCCCUAGAUCCAACUGAAGGAGGUAAAAGUCUUCAGAGAAAGAGUAGGCCAAGGAAGAAAGAGAGCAUGUUUAGUCAUGAUGUUAACAUUGCCAUGUUUGACAAGGAAGGUGUUUUACUGGAAGAUCAACUUAAGAAGAAAAGCUUGCCAGGUUCUGAUGGUUGCUUAAGAACAGGAUCAGACAAAACAGAAAAUGCUGACAAAAAACCUGGGAGAUAUUCAAGGAGGAAGAAAUCUGCUGUCUGUAACAACAUAGAGACAACCUUUGGCAUGAAGAAUGUAUUUGUAACAAAGGAAAAAGACAUGCAGAGUGAUUUGGAUGGAAAACCACUGCUUUUGUUUAGAAGGAAGGAUGGACAAAAAGGAAUGAAAGACAAAGAAAUUGAAAAAUCUGAGGUAUUAUGUUUGUUUAGUGAUGUUUGAUUUGAAUUUUGCGAUAGAGAAAAGUGGACAUAGUUUUGCAGCGACCAAAUAGGAAAUUAGGAUGUUUAAUUUGAUAUGGAGGGAGUUAUUUUUCAUGUAAAGGUGAAGCAAUUCUGUUUUCACAGUAGAAACCACCUCUGGUGUGAAAAGAGUACUUGUAAAGAAGGAAAAAGAUAUCCAGAGCGAUCAGAAGGAAAACCACUGGUUUUAUUAAGAAUGAAGGAUGGACAAAAAGGAAUGGAAUGCAAAGAAGCUGAAAAUUUUGAAAUAUCAUGUUUGUUCAUUAAUAAGUCAAUUAAUGUCUGAGGUAUUAUGUUUCUUUAUUGAUGUUUCUGUGCUUUUACCUACAAUUAAAACUGUCAAAUUAAGCAAAGUGGACAAGUUCUCCGCCCGCCACCCAUAUAGGAAAUGAGGAUGUUCAAUUUGAUAUGAGGUAGUACAAAAUCUUAUUUUUCAUGUAAAAGGUGAACCAAUUCUUGUAACUUCUGUCUAAAACUUUCUACUACAGAAAGUAGAUAAUUAGAAUCUUGCUUAGCAUAUGCUGAGAGCUUGAGCAAGCACCCCGGUCUCUCGAUAUGUUUGUAAGCAAUGACUGGCUAAAUUUCGUGCCUGUCUGAUAUGCCUUGUUUAGAUGCUUUGUGUUUGUUCCAUAUAUUCUGACAUGAUUUUCAUAUCUGAUUUCUAAUGUGCGAAGACAUCUUUUUGUAUUCAGGGUUGCAGGAAGCCUAGAAUUGUGAAAGAGUAUGGUGAAGAAUUAAUUGGUUCAAGGAUAAGGGUCUGGUGGCCCAUUGACCGGCAGUAAGUGACUCAAAUUGUUAAAUGAUCAAAAUUAAUGACAAUAUGUUGAUCCUUUUUGCUAUUUUUGUAAGUUUGAAUCUCUGAAUGUUGCUAUCAUCUUGACUUUGGUCCAGGUGGUUCUGCUUCUUUGAAACAGUUUACAAGUAAUAGGACAAUCUUCUGGGUGGCUUUGUUGAUAUGGGUGUUAAAUAGCUGAAGCUAUUGCCAUCUAAUUCCCCCAAGCUGUCCCCCAUUCCCCCAACUUUCUGCUUGAUUUUGGUGUGUCCUUCCACCUAAAAUGCAUGAACUACAACCCUUUUUUUUUUGUCUCAGUUUAAAUUCCAUCAGCUUUUCUUUUUCUAUGAUAUAACACCACUUAUUAGCUCCUACCUUACCCCUUAAAUGUCAGUAGUGGAAACUUCCUUAGCUGAUAAGUACAAAUUCUUUUAAAGGAGAUUUUGGCUUCAAAAGCCAAUUUUAUGAAGUUGGUUCAACCAAGGCUGGAGACUAUUUCACCACUAUUGCCUCCAACCAAAUAAUUCUAUGAUUUUUCAAAAACCAUGCAUGAUCUCAGCCUGAAAAACUGGGAAUCUUGUUCACUUAAGUGUCUUCUUUUCUCCGUUCCAGCAUACCUUUCUUUGACUGAGCGUAUCUGUGAAUUUUUCCUCUCCCCACUUCUGGGCAUUGCUGCCCCUGUCCUUUCCCUCUUUUACUAAAGGAAUUUCAUAGUGCAUGAUGAUUUAGUGCCCUUAAAACUUAUAUUUAUGCUAGAUGAACCCAAUAUUUCAUUCUAAAGUUAUUCUUUUCUGAUUUUCAGUUUUGCUAUGGAAAACCAUGGCCUGCUAUGUGUUGAUUUUUUUUAAUGUUAAUGUAGUAGUUUGAUAUAUUUUUUGUGCUAAUAUUUCAUUUUUCUGUGGUUGGAAAUAUUUCUGCUCAGUUGGGUGUCAAUGGUGCUUUUUGGAUCAAUCUUUGACUGGUAAUGUAAUGUAUUUGAGCAUGUUAAAUAUGUACAUAUGUGCAUCUGCGUGUGCAUGUGUGUGGUAACUUGUUUGAAUCAACUUGGAUUCCAGAGUUGAUUAUUUCCAGUUGUAAGAAACUGAUGAUAUUAAUGCGGGCUGUUGGAAAAGAAAACCUUCCUAUUAUUAUGUUUGAACAGAACUGAAAACACAUGCUUAGAACUGGGGAAGUAAACAGUACUUUAAUUGCAUGACCAGAUAAAAAAUUAACAUGGGAUGCACAUCGAGGAGAAAAAUUGAUGUCAAUGGCCAUCAGAUUCCUCAAGAGAGAUGAAGUAAUGAAUCUAUGAAUCUAAGUGUCUGUUAUUAAAUCUAAGCAUGACAGGAUGAGGGCAGUAGUGAAGCUUUGCUGUUCAACAAUGUACUUGAAUACCAUUAAAGCACGAAAGCUGAACUUGAUUGAAGGCGACUAAUAUUGUGGAAGUUGGUAGAUUUCAAUUGCGUCGGAAAUAGCUUUGUUGAGUUGACUCAGCAAAAAGGUAAAGAAAUUGGGACGUCCUCAAGAGCUUUCUAGCUAUGGUUGUGAGUGAAACUUGGACCUCAAUGACAUGUAAUUUUUCCUCUUGGGAUAAGUAAUUUCCUUUUCAUAUGUAUGUUUGACUUCGAUAGUUGAUAUAUUGAUUAAGUACAUAAUUGUUAACUGUAUUAUGUGCAUGAACAUCGUAGUGGCUAGACACCUGGUGCAGAAUUUGCCAAAUAACAAAAUCAACUAAUUUUUGUGUUUAUUUUGGGUGGCAUUGUUUGAGUAGUCACUCUCUUCAUUAAUAAGUACAAAAUUGAAAUCACUACAGCUGAAAAUGAGAUAAUCUGUCGACCUUAAUGUUUGAAAUCGACCAAACUUGAGCCAUAUGUGUCAGGGAACAAGCAGAAUAUUAUGUUCUAUCUUAUUAAUUUUUUUUUUUUGCGCAGGUUUUACGAAGGCGCUAUUGAUUCUUUUGAUCCCUUGAGGAAGAAACAUAAGGUGAAAAUAUUGACAAUGACAGCCUAAACCUUUACGUUUGCUAUUAUUUAACUCUUUCAAAUUCAUCCUUGGUUUGCUUCAUCCUUUAUUAUACCUCCAUUUUCUUGCUUUUAGGCUCUGUUUUUUAUCCUUACCUCAACAUGAGAUAAGAAUACUUUGUAAACCUUCACCCUAUUCUUUUGGAUUAAAACAUUUUGCUGGUGCAUUUGUGACAUAUUAAUUCAUCUUAACUGCAUGAAUAAGCAGUCAUCUUAGUUUCUAUACUGUAAUUUUACAUGCUCAGGACCACAGUUUUCUCUCACUGGUUUGAAAUUUUGUGGUGAUCGAGAAUGUGCUGAUGUUAAAUGGUUAAGUUUGUUUUACGAGUGAUCACAUGCUUACUGUCCUUGUUUCAGGUUUUUUAUGUUGAUGGUGAUGAGGAGAAUUUGAAUCUAAAAAGGGAACGUUGGAUUUUGCUUGGCGGCAGUUCUUGUCAUCAAGUUAGUCACUGAUUUUCUAUCUGUCACCUUUCAAUUUUUUUUUUUUUUGGGCUGCUGCUCUCAAGUACUGUUUGAGACAGAUGAGUUUAUUCUUUUAGAUCCUCAAAACGUGUUUCUGUUGAAAACUUGUCUUUACUUUGUUAUUACCAAGUUUUUUCAAGUCGUCAGUCAAGCUUUUCUUGGUGUUGUUCUUCACUUCCCUUAUAUCAGAAUAUGCAUAACUAGUUUAAUUCUCAUGUUCACCUUACCGAAAAUUCAGUUUUCUUUUGUGGAUUUUAGAUGUCAUGACAUUCCCUCUGAACAUCUGUACAGUAUGCUUUGCUGGCUUGCUUGUUAUCCAUGGAUGAUGAUUGUUUUUUUGAUCAAUUUAGUCACUUAACUGGUUAGGGAUUUUUAAGAUUCCCUUUUUUUUUCCAAUUUCAAGAGUCAAUACAGUUGGAAGGGAAAAAAAAAAGAAAAGGAAAAAUACAAAAUAAUUAAAAUGAAAAAGAGAGAAGCUGUCGUAAUAGAUACAAUCUGAAUAUUGACCUUGAAAACAGAUUAAAUCCUUUGAAGUAUCUUUUUCUAGGAUAGAAGGUUUAUCUAUCAGUAUGUGUCUUGGUCAUCACUUCUGGUAUAGGAUGUUUUUCUAUGAUGGAAGUUUUAUCUAAUUCUUUAUAUCUUGGCCAUUACUUCUGGUAUAGGAUGUAUGUGCAAGUGACUCUCACAUUUAACUUCUAGAACGUUACUCCACUGAAACAAUAAUGUCUUUUCUCCAGUCAACUUUUGGUGUUCUUUAAGUUGGAGGGGCAGGCAUUGGAAGCAUGAACACUUAAUCGAAAUUUCAACCAAAAGCUUCUUCUUUUUAGAUGUGCUUAUAUUUCUUUUCUUACUGAGGCUUAUAUUCACUUUGGCUGAUUUAGCAGAUGAAAACGAACACAAAGAAUAUGUACAAAGAUAAAACAGCAAGAUCUUUCUGUUUUUUCAACAUCAAAAUAUAAUUGUUAUUAAUAGUUUUUCCUUCAAAAUUAAGCUAUAUAUUCCAGACAUGAGACUGUAUCUGUUGUCUCUGAUUCAUCAGAGGGUUGUUUGAUUCCAUGUCUGGAGUUCUGUAUAAGAAUUGACGAGUUGAACUUUUUCUGAAGACAAGAUAAUUUGUUUUUUGUUAAGCAAAAUUAGCAGAUCAGGCAUGUCAAAUGGUUGGCAUUCUCCUGUUUGACUUGCUAAUGUCUUUGGUCAGUCUAGUUUAGAUCGUAUAGAAUCCCAUUGUAUAUUUUGCUGCUUUGUCACUAAUCUUUCUUCUGUUUGAAUAUUUACAUUAAAAUGUAGGGAUUGGCCGUAGUUUAUGUAUCUUGAAUUAAUCCUUGAAUUAAUCAGGUGAUGGUGGAGGGGGAAACAACUGCCUCUCAUCUUGUGGAAACUGAAGCUCAGCUUUGCAAGUCACUUAUAGAUGAUUGCAAAGCUGAGGAGGCAGACACUAAUGACCAUGGAUUAGAUGAUAGGAGUUCAUCGAAGAUAUUGCAGUUUGAUGAAAAAAUUGAGCAGCUGAAGAGCAUGGCUGAAAUAUCUUUCGCCUCUGGAGCUUUAGAAAGUGGAGGGGAAAUGCAACCAAGAGCAAGAGUAGGAGUUACGCCAAAUAGAAGGAAAAGAAAACCCAAUUCUCUUAUAAAACCAGUUGAAGUUUAUACUGAGGUAUUAUGUUUCCUUAUUGAUGUGUCGGUGCAUUUCUACCUGUAAUUAAAUUUUCAGAGUAAGCAAAGUGGACAUAGUUUUGUCACCACGCAAAUAAGAAUUUAGGAUGUUCAAUUUGAUACGAGGGAGUACAAAUCUUAUUUUUCGUGUAAAAGGUGAAUCAAUUCUUGUAGCUUCAGUCUAAAGAUUUCUACUAUAGAAAAUAGAUCAAUGGAAUCUUAGUUGGCAUCUGCUGAGAACUUGAGGAAGCACCCUGUUCUCUUCACAUGCUUGUUAGCAAUGAUCAACUAAAUUUCUUGCCUGUCUGAUAUGCCUCGUUUUGAAGCUUUGUGUUUGUUGCAAUAUCCUGACGUGAUUUUCAUAUCUGCUUUCUAACGUCCAAAUAUAUCAUUUUAUACUACUUCAGGGUUGCAAGAAGCCUAGAAUUGUCAAAGAAUAUGGUGAAGAGUUAGUCGGUUCAAGGAUAAAGGUCUGGUGGUCCAUGGACAGUGAGUAAGUGACUUAAAUUGUUGAUAAUGCUCGAGAGACAAUAUAUUGAUCCUCUGUACUUUUUUUGUAAGUUGAAUCUCUGAAUGUUGCUAUUAUCUUGACUUUGGUCCAGGUGGUUCUGUUUCUUUAAAACAGUUAAAGAGUGCUAGGAGAGUCAUCUGGGUAGCAUUGUUGUAUGGGUGUUGGAUAUCUGUAACUAUACUCAUCUUAUUUCCCCACCUCCCCCCCCGCCUUCUUUCUGCUUGAUUUUGACAUGUCGUUCCACCUAAACUACAUCAACUACAAUCCUCCCCACUCUGUCUCAGUUUAAACUCCCAUCUUUUUAUUUUUUUUGUUUUCUAUAAUAUGGUACGAUUUAUAAUCUCCUGCCUUACCAAUUAAACACCAUCAGUGGAAGCUUCCUUAACUGAGAAGUAGAACUUGUCUUAAAGGAUGUUUUGGCCAAAAAGCCAAUUUUGUGAAGUUGGUUUGGCCAAGUUAGGAGACUGUUUCACCACUAUUGCCUCCAAUCCAGCAAGACUAUGGUUUUUCAAAACCCAUGCAUAAUCUCAACUGGUAAAACUAGAAUCUUGUUGGCUUAUUGACUUCUUUUCUGUAGUUCUAGCAAACCUUUAAUUGACCGACAUCUGUGAAUCUUUUCCUAUCCCAAAUUCUGGGCAUUUGCUGCCCCUAUCCAUUUUCCUUUUACUAAAGAAUUUCAUAGUACAUGAUGAUUUAGUCCCUCAAAACUCAGGUAUUUGUUGCUACAUAAAGUUGCUGUUUUCAUCCUGAAGUCAUCCUUUUCUGAUUUUCAAUUUUGUGAUUGAAGGUUGUGGCCUGUGUUAACUGUUAGAUUUAUUUAUUUAUUUUGUUUGUAGUUUUAGUGGUUAGGAAUAUUUCUGGCCAGUUGGGUGUCAAUGGUGAUUUCUGCUUUAAUCUUUCAUUGAUAAUGUAAUGUAUGUGAGCAUGUUAUAUAUGAACAUAUGUGUCUCUGUGCAGUGUGUAUGUGGGUGGUAAUUUAUUUGUUUGAAUCAACUCAGCAGCUGUAAUUGAUUAUUUCCAUUUGUAGGAAGCUCAUGAUAUGAUGCAGGCCAUUGUAAAAGAAAAUUUUCCUAUUGUUAUCUUGAAACAGAAUAGGGAAAAAGAUGAGAUAUCAUGAACAGAUAGUGAAAAUUCUCCCGGAGGGAUGAAAAAAAAAAAGCUUAGAACUGGGGUAGUAAACAGUACGCUAACUGCUAUUACCAGAUAAAAGACUAACAGGGAUGCAUGUCGAGGAGGCAUAGUGAUGUUGAUGGACGUCAGAUUCCUCAAGAGGUGAAGUAAUGAAUCUAAGUGUUUCUUAUAACAUUAAUAAAUCUCCAAUGCUACUUGGGAUUACUUUUGACUUUGGUAGUUGAUAUAUUGAUUAGAUACAUAAGCAUAGAUACACUAUGUGCAUGAACAUCCUACUGGAAAGACACCUGGUGCAGAAUUUCCCAACAUGACAUCCUAGUUUUCAUGUUUACUUUGGAGGGCAUUGUUCGAGGAAUGCUCCUCCAUUUCAUUGAUAAAUGCAAAGUUGAAAUUUCUGCAAUUGAAUAUGGGAUAAUUUGUCAAACUUAAUAUUUAUGUCAGAGAACAGGCAGAAAGUUGUGUUCUAUCUUAUCCAGUUCCUUUUGUGCAGGUUUUAUGAAGGUGUUAUUGAUGCUUUUGAUCCUUUGACGAAGAAACAUAAGGUGAUAAUAUUCACAUUCAUAGCCUAAACCUUUACUUUUGCUAUCAUUUACUCUUCUAAAAUCCAUCCUUGGUUUUGCUUCAUCCUUUAUUAUGCCUCCAUUUUUUGCUUUUAGUCUCUGAUCUCUGUCCUUUCCUCAUAAUGAGAUAAGAACACUUUGUAAACCCUCCUCAUAUUCUUUAAGAAUAAAACAUUUUUUUGGAAGAUCCAUUUGCUGGUGUAUUUGUUACAUAUUGAUCCAUCUUAGCUACUUUAAUCAGCGGUUGUCUAAGUUUUUUUUAUUGUAUUGUUACAAGCUUAGGAGCACAGUUUUCUCUCACUCGUUUGACAUUUUUUGGUGAUUGAGAAUGUGCUGAUGUUGAAUGGAAGUAAGUUUUUUUUAUGAGUCAUCACAUGCUUCUUGUCUUUGUGUCAGGUUUUAUAUGUUGAUGGGAACGAGGAGAAUUUGAAUCUGGAAAAAGAAAGUUGGUUUUUGGUUGGCAACACUUCUUGUCAUCAAGUUAGUUGCCUGAUUUCCUACUUUUUCUUCAUUAUGCUAUUUGUGGUGUUUCUGUUAUCGCCUCCCCCCCCCCCCCCCCCACCCAAAAAAAAAAAAAAUUCUCUCCCUCUCAUAUAUUGAUGAGAUCUCUGUGAUGUGAUAUUGAUAGAAUAAACAAUCAAACCUUUCAAUUUCUGCUGCUGUGGCUUUGAAGUACUGUUUGAGACAGCUGUCAUUAUCCUUUAUUAAGGAUUUUCAAGUUGUCAUUAAGCUUUUCUUGAUGUUGUACUUGCCUUCCCCAUAUCCGAAUUUGUAUAGGUAGUUAAUUCUCAUGUUCACCACACUAAGAGUUAAGUUCCCUUUUGCAGAUUUAUGUUGCCAUGACAUGCUCCCAGAACUUCUGUACAGUAUUCUUUUGCUGGCUUGCUUGUUAUCUACAGAAGAUUAUUUUCUUGUUUGAUCAUUUUAAUCACUUAGCUGGUUAGGGUUUUCAAACAUUCAUUUGUUUCAAAUCCAAGGAUCAAUCCAGUUGUCAAAAAAAAGAUAAAAUUAUUGAAACGAAAGGAGAGAAACUAUUGUAAUAGAUAGAAUCCUAAUAUUGACCUUGAAAACAAACUCAAAUCCUUUAACAUAUCUGUUUAGAGAAGUUUUUUCUUUAUUUGUAUGUCUUAGCCAUAAUUUCCUGUAUAGGAUGUUUUGUCUAAAAUAGAUGUUUCAUCAAUGCUUUAUCUCUUGGCCAUUACUUUUGGCAUAGGAUGUAUGUGGACUGCACUUUCAAAUUUAACUUUUAGAACAUUCCUCCACUUGAACAAUAAUCAUGGGCAUUUCCUCCAGUCAACUUUUGAUAUCUUUAAACAAGAGGAGCAGGUAUUGGGAGCAUUAACACUUGAUCCAAAUUAGAAUUAGAGGUUUUUUUCCCCCGCUUUUUAGUGCUUAGAUUUCUUUUCUUACUGAGGCUUAUGUUUGCCGUUGCUGGUUUUGCAGAAGAAGAAAGCAAGCACGGAGAACAUUUAUAAGAGAAAACAAGAAGAUGAUUCUGUUUCUUCAGAGAAAAGGUUUGUCGUUUGAUAACGUUGUCUUUUCUUCAGAGUUUGAGUUUUUGGAAUUUUUAUGGCAUUCACGUCAUCUUCACUACUUUUUUUGUUGUUAUCAAAUGAAUUGCCAAGGGCUUUAUAACAGCCAGAGAGUUUCUGCUUUUAGGUACCCAACUCGAGCCCGAAAAGCAUCAAGUCUUCUGCUGUAGGUGAUCUGACAAAGGAUGAUAAGGAAACAAAGGAUGAGGACGAGAAUCUCAGAAGCAAAGCUCUCAAGGAUGCAAGUAAAUCUAGCAUGUAGCAGCUUAGCUACACAACCAAGAAGAUUAUUUCAGCAAGAACUCCAUGGAUAUGCAUGGAAAAUCGCGAUGCUGCGUCUUGAAAAUGGGCACAACUAAAUGGCCUGAAAACACAGACAAUGUCAUUAGGCUGAUGACAUGGUACUUAAAUUAAGAGUGGAUGAUUUGAAUUUUUGUAGAACUGGAUUUUGUUUUUAUUAUUACUGCCAAAACAUCCCAGUUUUGUGACUAUUAAGCUGAAUUAAAGUCAUCAAGCUGAAUUAAAGUUUCACGAAGUUUCACAAGUUCAUAGCUGAUUCCUGUACUUGUUAGGCUGGUCGACUGAGCUUUGUUGGUGCCUUCGCAGCUAUCGUGCUAUGUCUUGUGAAUUGUGGCUUGUACUCUCUGUUUACUUCGGGAUUCUACAUAAGUCCUUAAGAUGGUUAGGCUAACAGGAAGUUGAGAUGAUGGGAGGGAGGAUUGGUCAAAGGUCGUUUUGCAUUUCUUUUGUUUAUUUGUUAAAUUAGCAUUCUUUCAGCUUGUUGAAUGCUAACUCGGACAUAGGUAAAGACAAUGAUCAAUAAAAGUUCAUAUGGUACAUAAAAAUUGCUAGGCGUGAAGUGAAAAUGCAAUUACAAGAUUAUGUGCACAAAACAGAAGUUGUACAUGCCACAAAUAUUCAUUAACUCCAAACAUUGAUAUCAUUCAUCCAAAUAAUAAAAUUAGCAAUUUGACAAUAUGCAAAUGCAUUGAAGGCAUGUAUAAUUUUUAAAACGAAUAGGGUAUUUCUUGUAAUCAUGUUCGGGACAAUGAUUAACAGGAACAUUAGGAAGAUUAGUUUGGAGGAAAAAAGAAACGAAAAGAGUGGUAAUUAUUGAUAAAAAAAAAAAAGAAAAAUGAUCAUUUUGUUAGGAAGUACAAAUAAGAAUUCUGCCAACUCGCUGGUGUAGAGUUGAUUAAUUUAUUUUUCCUAAUAUAAAUAAUACACAAAUUUAAAAUCUCUCUUUCUUGGCAUUUUACUAUUUGAAGUCAAUGUUUAACAGCAUAUAGGACAUCAUUAGAAAGUUUUACUAACCAGACAACAUUUUCCUUUAUGAAAUAAAAACACUCUAGAAAUUACAUGGGUUGGUGGUGAAUGGUUAAUUCUUUUCACACGAGUGAUUGUAACAAAAGCAAAUGAAGUCCUUGAUCAUUAUAUGAAUAGUCUUCGUGACCAAUCAGUGACAAGUUUGACUUUUACUACUCUAUUAAUUUUCUACACAAUAGUUAGCAUCCAAAACAAAAAAAGUUGUCUUGCUUUUGUGCUCCUUUAUGCUUGAUGAAUCAUCACAACUAACUUUUUUUUUUUUUUUUGUCAAAAAAAAGAACCUGGCCCCACUUCAGGCCCCAACCCUUAUUCGAGUUGUUGGGUUAUUCCCCAUUUUUGUGACAAGACUCGAACACUGGAUCUCGAGUGUACUAACCCUUAGUGAGACCAGCUCGGCUGCCUUGGAGGGUCAUAUCAUCACAGCUAACUCGGUGGUAUGAUUUUGAUAAGGUCUUGAACAGCUACUUAAUAUUCAUACAUCUUAAGAAAAACAGAAUAACCUAAGGCUUUCUUUGAGGGGAGGAGAUGGGUUGGGGGAGGAGGGAAUAUCUAAUUUAGGCCCUUUUAUUCUAAUUCCUAUGUUUUAACACACUUUACCUAGAGACUGGUUUGUGGUGCCAAAGCUAAAGCUGCCAUUGCCAUUGGGUUUGAAUGUUUUCUUGCCCAGUAAUGCAUCCCGUAAUGCAGAGCAAAUCUUCAAAAAAAUGAAGGCCAAAUAUCCCGUCUAUUGAGGAAAAUGUUGAAAUCUCUGAUCCCUGAUAUAGAUGCUUUGAAAUGAUUCACAUUUGCUCAUAACGUCGUUUCUAGCCUUCAUUGUUUCAAUGAUCUCUGUAUUGUUGAAUAUUUCAAUGAAGUAGUGGUAUUUUGACUAUUUUCUAAAGAACAAAGAUAUUUUGGUUUUUUUUUUUAAAGUUCCAAUAGUUGUAUAGAAAAGUCGGAUGUAUGGUUAACUAACUGAUUGAGAAUUGGGUACAAGAAGUUCUGCUUUCAUUUUGGCAUUUCUUCAAAUUGAGUUACCUAGGAAAUUGGUUCUUGGUUGUGUUUGGUAGCUACUAUUUUGCUCGAUUGAAAUCAUGACGAAAUAUUGAAAAGUACAUGUCAAAUUUUCAUUUUGCCAAUUGACAUACUUUAACAAAUAGAAGUUUUUACAAACUCUAGAAUAUUGACUAAGAGAAUAGGGUGGGAUAAGUAUUUGGAUUAAGUUUUUAUUUUAACUUUCAUAUUAUUUAGUUUAAAGUUUUAUAUUCUUAUUGUUCAAUUGUUAAAUAGUAAGUACUUUUGCGGCAUAGUGCACAGAUGAGAAAAAAAAUUAGUAAUUAGGCUUAUUAGACAUUAUAAAUAAAUAUUUAAAAUUAAUGAUGGGGUGCAAAGGGUGGAGUGGGAUAAGUUUUUGGAUUAUGUUUUUAUGUUAACUUUCAUAUUAUUUGGUUCAAAUUUUUAUAUUCUCAUUGUUCAAUUAUUAAAUAGUAUGCAAUUUUGCGACAUGGCGCACGAUGGGAAAAAAUUGGUAAUUAGACUUAUUGGCAUUAUAAGUAAAUAUUUAAUAUUAAUGAUGGGUGCAAAGAGUGGUAUAAAUUGAUAAUUUAGUUUACAAAAUAUAUUUAGAUAGGUUUGUAAAAAGUGAAAAUAAAUUGGUUGUAGAUGGAUAAUUGGAUUACCCCACCCAUUUUUUGACUUACUUAUUUAUACCCAUCUAAUUAUAUAUAUAUAUAUAUAUAUAUAUAUAUAUAAUAAAGUCGUAUUCUCAUUCUUAUCCCUUUAUGUUUUCUCUUUCUUACGUGGCUUAACGAGAUGGCAAGUAGUUUCCUACGUGGCUUGCUCCUUUUUUGUUUAUAUAUAUAUCAAUUCUUAUUCCCUAUAAGAAUUCUUAAUAUUAUAUGAUUCUUAUUUCCUAUCCAAAAAAAGAAUUGGAAAGUAAUGCGAUAUAAAUAAAAGAGAAAUAAAUAUCUCUAUUAGAUAUAUCUCCAAAUUCAUGCCAAUAAUUUGUGUACUGCAUAGGGAGCCGAAGUAAAUAAGAAUUGUUAUCACUAAAAGAAGUAGAAAAGUAACUAAUUUCAAAAGGAACCAUUAAUAACAGAAGUCAAUAUCUGAUGUUGGAAAUAAGAUUCUUAAUAAAUUUUAUUAUUAAGUACGUUAUCAAGACAUAGUGCAUAGCACGAAAUUUAUGGAAAAGAAAAAGUUAAUUGAAUCCAAUUAACUAUAUGUAUUUGACCCGUAUGGUUAAAUAUAAAUUUCUAUUUGAGCACGGGUUUGUAAAUUUCUAUAAACCCGUUCAUUGUUAAUCAAAAUAUGCAGGUUAUACUCAUGACUAGGUUAUAAGAUUCACAAUACAUCUCUGCUCAGAUGGUGGGGAGUAUUUAGUGUGUGGACCCACACCAUAGGAGUCCAUGCACUAAAAGGACUCGAUAUAGUUGAGGUGGUCUUUCAAGGUAGGUAAAGUUUGUCUUGAGAACGCAUUUUUAUUUCCUAUAAGAAUUCUUAAUAUUAUAAGAUUUUUAUUUCAUACCCAAAGUUACGUACUUUAAACAAUUUAAAUCAAGAUAAACCUACUUUUAAUGUUCUCAUCAAUAUCUUUUUAUAUUCUUAUCAAUUAUUUCUUAUGCCUACACUACAUAUAGCCUCUAAUAUAUUGAUUUCAAACAUCAAAUUCAUGGUUAGGUAUUUUCAGUGCAAGCGGUUGGCACAUUAAAGCAUCGAUUUUUGGUUUCCACUCCUCUUGAUUAUCAGGUACAUUUUCUUUCAAUACAUAUUUUUUUAAAAAAAAGGCAUGUUGAUCUUCAAUUGUAAAAGUUUAGUAACAUAUCUUGAAUUUUGUUUUUAUUUUCUGUUUGUUUUUUUAUGAACACAUAGGAUUAGUAAUAUAUCUUGAAUUAGUAAUAAAAAUUUCUCUUAUAUUUCACAUAUUAUAUCUCACAUAAUAUUUUUGCCUUUAAUUUUGAUAAAUCAUUAUCAGAUUGGUGGAACCGACAACCAAUACCAACCUGAAGCAUCUUCUUCCUAGAUCCCAAUUAGUAUAAUAGAUUAUUCUAAUCAACAACAUUUCAAUACACUUCAUAUGAAUUAUUCAUCAGAGGGUUCAACAAAAACCACAGAGGAAGGGAAUCCUCAUAAAAAGAUUUGCAUGAGAAGGUAGAUUUAAUAUAUUAUUUUACUUUCUUAAAUUAUAAUCUUUACGUAUUGUUAUACACAAUCUUGAAUGCGAUAAAUCAUUUUUUUUUUUUAUACUUAGUUAUCCUGCUUUGCUAUCAUGCAGUGAUAAUGGAAAAUCAAUAAAUGCUGAUUUGCACGGACAAAUCGAGGAAAUGUUCAAACAGAAGAAAAAGAAAAACGAGUUUCUGAAGAGUAGAAUAUUAUUUGAUACUAUUUACUGCACUUUUUAUUUAUUUUCAAGUUUUUGAAUGUUAUGGUAUUGUCGAAUGUUAUUUUUUUCAUUUUUGAAUUAUUGUUUACUGAAUUAGAUGUUCAAAUUUAUAUUAUAAGAAUACUUUAUAUUACAAUGCGCAUAUAGUAAUAUACUUAAGAAAGGUUAUAAUAAAAUAUACAUUAAGUUUGUAUUUCAUAUCGACAUUUUUAUAAAAUUGACUAAAUAGAUUAUUAUUUUUCGAAGAUUCCCGUUCAACGAACGGGUACAAAACUAGUUAAAUGAAUAUAAAUAGAUUGACUCACUUAUACCUAUGACCCAUUUUAACCCACCCAAAUCAACCAUUUAACACCUCUAAUUUUAGCCUCCAAUGUGAUUUGAUUGAGCAUUUUAUACAUGCAACAACAGUAACUCUGUUCUUGAGCUAGAUUUUGAAUCAUUUAUUACAUCAAUUCCCAAGCCAACUCUAAUGAAGUCUAUUGGCAAUGAAGCAGAGUUUCUUAACAAAUAUAUUUCUACCCCCAUGUUCCAUGACAAAGAGAGUAUGGCCUAUCUUCUUCUUGAGUUUCUUCAAUCCCACCAUUACAAGGGUAAGGUAAACUAUCACCGUCCAAUCACAUGUGCAAUCUAAUAGCAAUACAAAAUGCUACAAUCUUAUUCACUAUCUCUUAUUCUAAGCAAAAUAUUGAAUUUUCUUGUGCUUAGAUUGAUAAUAAACAAUAGUUAACAUGAAAGUCAGAGAAUUUUAGUACUAUUCUUGAAAAUACCCAUGCAUAUGUAAUUCAUGUGAAAUUAUAUUAUCAAGUGCUUCAGAAGUGUCCUCCUCACAAUGAAGUAGAUGUAACAUGUGUUCUAAAUUUACUUACUGCUACAUUCUUUAAUCUUGUUUAAUGCUAAAUUAGAUGCAGGCAAAGACAACGAUCAUCAAAGAUUCAUAUAGUACAUAAAAAUUGCUAUGCUUGAAGUGAAAAUGCAAUUACAAGAUUAUGUGCACAAAACAAAAGUUGUACAUGCCACAAAUAUUCAUCACUCCAAAAAUUGAUAUAACUCGUUCCAAAAAUUAAUAUAGGUAUUUGACAAUAUGCAAAUGCAUUUAGGGCAUAUAUAAUUUUCAAGAUGAGUAGGGUAUUUCUUGUAAUUAUACUCUGGACAAUGACUAACGGCUAAAUUAGGAAGAAUAGUUUGGAGAAAAAAAAGAAAAAGAAAAGAGAGUAUUGAUCAAAAAAAUUAUCAUUUUAUUAGAAAGUAACGUGAGUGCUAUGCGUGCUUUCUCAGAAAUAGAAUGCUGUCAAGUUUCUUGUGUGGAAUUGAUUAAUUUAACUUUCCCAAUAUAGAUAAUAUGCAAAUUUAAAAUCUCUCUUUCUUGGCAUUUUACUACUUGAAGUCAACAUAUAAUGGCACAUAGGACAUCAUUAGGAAAUUUUACCAAGCAAACAACAUUUUUCUUUACGAGACAAAAACAUUCUAGAAAUUAUUUUCAAAUGAGUGAUUGUAACAAAAGCAAAUUAAGUCCUUGAUCAUUGACUAAAUGACUUCAUGACGAAUUAGUGACAAGUUUGAUUCUAAUCGAUGCAAAUUGAGUGCUCAUUUUGAUUCUAAUGGACUAAAUGUCAUAUUAGUAAUAUGUGAGAGACAGUUAGUGUACUUUUUCCAAAUAAAAAAGUGAAAUUCCAGUUUCCCCUAUGAACUCUAAUUCAUGCUUUGAGAGAUGUGCUACUUCCAUUUAAAUGUAAUCCUAGAUGCCUUACAACAAGUAAUUGAUCCAUUAGAUUGUCUUUGUAGUUAAACGUUGGUGAUUUUGGCUCUAGUUACUAUCAUUAUGCAAAGUAAAUCAUGAGACCAUAGGUCGAGGAAGUGGUUCAAUCACAGUAGAGCUAGAACCUUGUGGUAAGGAGAUACAAUAGUCAACUUUAGCAUAAAUCAUGCUCUUAGAUUGAUAUAAGAAAUAGGAUAUUUACUUUGAUUUAGAAUGCCAAAUCCUUUUUUUUUUUAAUUAGAGUGUUGUUAAUGUUUAAUUUGGAAUAGAUCCAAAAUUUUUGUUAGAAAUAAUCAAUAAAAAAUCUUAUUUUUAAGGAAUAAAUGUAGAAUAAGGGAGGAAUAUAUAAAAUUUCAAAAGAUAAUCAAUAUAGAGAAAGGAAUUUUCUUAAAUUUAAGGGGGACAAUACAACUAAAAAGGAGAAUUUUAUGAAAUUCAAGGGUGCAAAUAUGAUGCAAACUUAAAACUCUUGAAAAAUUUCAAGACCAUUGUAUAAUUUUAUCAAAUUUGUGAGGGACAAUUGCCCAUCUACAAUCCUAUGUGACUUCACCGUUUUUCAGUCAUACCUAAUGAAUCAACAUGUGUUGGCUUAAGGAGCAUCCACUUCAUAGUGAAUUAUCUUAGUGCUAAAUUCUUCUCUCGUUUCUAGUACUAACUUAAGAUACAAGUACAACAAUAUGCCAUAUGGAUUGUUCUUUUUUUAAAAAAUUAUUUUUGUUUGUGAAGUUUACAAUAACUUCAAAAAUACAGACAAUCUCAAAUACACCUAAAAAAAAUAAAAAAAAAAAUUAAUUUCCACCCAACAGACAUACCACCACCACCCACUAUUACCACCACUUCCUUCCUCCUCCUCUCUCCUCCCUCUUCCCUCCCCUCUUCCUUUCUUUCCCUCCCUCCUGUGGCGGCAGUGGUGGGUGGUGUUAUUUUCAAAUUUUAAAAAAUAUUAAAAUUUUUUUAAUUCUAAAAAUAUUUUAAAAUACAUCCUCAAAAACACCCUAAAAAAAUACCUUCAAAAACACUUAUAAAAACACCUAACUAUCUGUAGUAAAAGUUUUUUUUUUACAAACACUGUUACAAUAAAAUUUUUAAAUAAGCACCCUAAAAAAUACCUAAUCCAUGCGAAGCCAUGAUUAGAAAAGGUUAGUAUGAUGCGUGAAAAUUGUUAUGCAUAAAUUUGCCGAACAAUCAACCUAUAUCUUUUCAAAAGAAAGUGAAUGUAAGAAAAUAUGACCUUAUUAUGUUUUUCAUGAAUAAUCAUGUUCUUCAAAAUAGUUAACAUCGAAUCUAGGAAGAAUAAUUUGAAGAGAAAAAUGACUGGUUUAUUAUAAAUAAAAGUAUAAAAAUAUACUAAGAAGGAGCACUAACUAUUUCACACUAACUAUAAUUUAUUAAACUCGUGGAGUUUACUAAUGGAGUUUGCAUGAUAUAGAUAACAUACACAUCCAAAAUCGCGCUCACUUGAUGGUGACUUUCUUCCAUUAUAUUGCUGGUGGUCUACAAUUGGAAGCAUAUUUUCUCGGAAUUGGAAGCACUUAAAAGUGUUUUACAAUGAAGACUUCUAUGGUUAGAUCUAUCAAAUUGUCAACUGUUUUAGAAGUAUCCACUUCAUAAUAACUAAAUAACAUACAUGCAUGUUUGUGUUUGGAUUGCUAUGUUUUAAAGUUUUAUAGAAAAAUUUGUUGUAACGAUUUCAUGUAUAUGAGGUAAAGGUGAUUGGAAAUUGUGAUCACAAAAAAUGUAAAAUUUUUCCUAGAAAAAACCUCAAUCCAAACAAGGAAGCGCUUCUCUGCAGAUUUCUCUCAGCUAAUUAUACUAAUUGAGAAACAGGCAAGACAUUAAUUAUUGCAAAUUAAGGUUGGUAGAUUAGUUGAAAAAUAUUUUGCUUUAACUUGCCAAACAAUCGACCAAUACUCUAUUUGCGCACAGGCAUUUAGGGCAUAUAAAUUUUAAGAUAAGAAAAAUUGAUUUCACUCCAUUUCUAAUGUAUAAUCAAAAUUUCCACACAAAGCUAAAAUCUAAUCCAGGAAGAAUAGAUUCGAGGGGAAAAUGGCUGAGAUGUUAACUGUCGAUCCAAAAAAAAAAAACAUAAACUUAAUUUAAAGUACAUUUCAAGAGCCAAAUUGCUUUAAAUCUUUUUCAAUACUAAAUAAUCCAAAUGUUAAAUCACAAAAUCACUCAAAUGCAUGCUCAUAAACAUAUAAACUGCAUUUGUAUUGUCCCGGCAUCUUUAUUAUUUAGAUAACAUAGGAAGCUUCUCUCCCUUUGACUGUUCUUGUAUUUAAUUUUAUUUACCUUUUUUGACAUCAUUCUUUUUCUUUAAUUCUGAAUGACUUCUUUUUCAAUACUAUUCUUCAUUACUAUAUAUGAUCAAUUUCAAAAGCAUCCCUAACAUAGUGAACUGACCUAUCAUCCUCUAAAUUACCCUUCUAUGUUUUGAUUUCAAUCUUUAGAUGGAAAUAUUGCUGCCUGCCUUUAAAUCAUCAAGUCAGACUUCGAUAGAGUUUGUUUUAUUAAAGACAAUUAAUUCACAGUUAUUGCUACAUGCACAAGAUAUGCACGAUAAAUUUGUAUCGAAAACAAUCUACUGAGCUUGAUUGUCUUCAGAGUGGAAUGUAGCAUUUUGAUCAUUCCACCAUAUGAUUCUGAGAAUGCUUUGGUUCUUCCCAAAUCUUGUUGCAAUCUUGAUUAUAUAGUCAAAAUGAGCCAAAUUCUUGGAUGGAUUCCAAAAAAUGGAGUUGUUAAAAGUUAUUGCUCUGAUUUUCAGUUCACUAUUUACUAUAGAUUGAUCCAACCCAAUUAAGACAAACUCAGCUAUGUAAAAGUUGAUGGUAAAUGGAACUUGAUUUUCUUUUUUGAAAAAUAGCUAGGUAAUGGGCAUGGUUCUCUCAAAUUUCGUUUCGUCCCACUAAAAUGCUUUCAAAGCAAACGUAAUAUAUCCUUUGCUCAUCUCUACAUCGUAAGUGCAUCAAAUUAUGCACAUUUGGAUUGGAGAAUUUGACGAAAGAUUUGAAAUCCACUCAAAUCGCUCUAGUUAUUUGGGUAACUUUAGAUGCAUUUAGAUUUGUAAUUUACCAAUUAUCAAAAUAUAUUUUAAAAUGACAAUAACCGGCGAUUUACAAAUUCAAAUACCUUCUGAAUAAUUUAAACAAUUAGAGGGAUUUGAGAGUAUCUUUCUUCAAAUCCUUGAAUCCAAACGUAGCCUGAAAUUAGAGGAGUAAUUAGAGGUCCUGAAGGAAUUGUUAUUGCUGGAACUAAAAUGACCAUAGGGCACAGCAAUCAAACGGCAGAAUUACGUGCACUUUUUUCUUCUUUUAACGAAAAAUUAUGCGCACUUAAUGUAGGACUUGCAAUUGGAUUGAACUAAUAUCUCACCUCUAAUUAUUCAGUCUGAUUCUUGGGUUAUUGUGAAAUACAUAUGUAGACCUCCACAUGCAAACAAACUUGAUCAUGGAACGCGGGAUUGUCAGGACAUGUACUAUUGGCAGAUCCUUAAAUAAACGACCUGUCUACUUAGCAUCCCCUCCGGCUUAAUAUUUUGGGCAUGCAAGUUAUGAUGUACUAAAACUAAUAACACCUAGAAUAGGUCUUGCACAUAACCGUGUUUUAGUAAUGGAAUCUUUGUUUAUCUCAAACAUGUAUAAUGGUGCCUUAAUAGUGCUGGUGGCAUUGGCGCCUACUAUAUAAACCAUUUAACUGUUACUCCUGGGCAGCUCGUUUGGUCACGACAACCCCUUGGAAGUCGUUGUCCAACUCUCCCACCAGGGAUCGAGUCUCAGGAUUACCGUGUUCGGGGGAAGGGCCUCUCCUCUCAGGUUGGAGUGGGAUUAGUCGGGUCCCGUAAAGAUUGACCCGGACACCCACCCCGUCAGCCAAAAAAAAAAAAUAUAUAUAUAUAUAUAUAUAUACACACACACACACACCAUUUAACCACUAUCCCUUCAAUUUUAUCUUCCUUUAUAUAGAUUGGUAAUAGUUCACGUGAUUUGCAUGUGAUCACAGUAUCAUGAUAUAUGAUAUUUCUUAUACACUAAUUUUUUGGCAAAAUUUUAUUGUUAACAUCAUAAUUUAAUAUGUGCAUAUUUUUCAUCUUUUUUGACCAAUUAUCUUUAAAACUUUAUUUUAAAUUAACUGGAGGUAUCACCCAUUUGUUAAAUUUUCUCUAGAGAAUUUCUCUGAAUUUAUUGUGGACUUUUUUUUCUAGCUUGCUAAGCAAAAGAUAAUUGUUUGGACAAAUAAUGUUUGUUUGCUCUACCAUUAUUAUUUUUUAUGGUUUGCAAGUUGAAUAUGUUAGUACUUUGAUGUAAUUUUUCAAUAUGAAGUGAUAUGCAUUGUUUUUGAAAAAUGAAGGGAUGUACGCACAUUCUUUAAAAUUGAACUCUUUUGCAUUCUUUUGUAUGAUAUUUUUGUUAUUAAUGGAGUGUAAAUGAUCAACCAGAUACAAAGAUUUUAUGUAUGACUGUUCAUUUUUACAAUUGAAAUUUCAUUUCUCCAGAAUAAUUGAGUUUUUCUUUUUCCUUUCCUUUCCUUUUCUUUUAUUUUUUUUUGUGGAUAGAAUUUGAUACAAAGCACAAAUGACAAAGACUCCAUUAUCCUAAGAGCACCCUAUUUUUGUACCAAGAGUAACAUUUAUGACGAUUUAGAAAUUGAAUUAGGCUGUAAUUAAUCAAGAAAUUUAGAUCGAAAUAAAAAGUGUUGCUUUGUUUAUUGUCUUCAUAGUUCAACGUCAAUUAAGUUUUUAGUUUUUGGCCUUCAUAAGUGAUACCAUUAUUGACUAUUAUUAGAACAUAAUAAAUCUAAUUAUUAGGAAGAAAAGGCAUUUUUGGCAUAAUGUAAAAUUAAGACAAAUCUUACUUAAGCUCUAUUCUUCCUAAUUAAACCUAUACCAUACUUAUAUAAACAGGAGUAUUUGGAAAAAGCUGCACAAAGUAAGGCUACUUGGAACUGUUUCGUACCCUCUUUUCUUGUUCUCUUCUACCACAUAACUACAUAUUCAACAUAUGGCGGAGGACAGACAAAGCUUCAUCUUUGGAUCUGAGAUUUAUAUUCACUAAAGAUACGCCAUUAGAUUUACAUGGUGAAAAUGAAACUUAGUCGAAUGACGUGUCAAAUGUGGUUUUGGCAAGGUGACAUAUGAUUUGUCUUUCAUUAACUAUUGCUACCUCGGUAAAUUCAUUGCCCGUAUGUUGUUCGCUUGUCAUAGCAAAAAUCACAUUUUGCAUUUGAUUUAGCACAACGCAAAAUUUUUUAAGUAUCCAAAACGACAACCAUUUUCCCAACUAAGAAAAAAAAAAAGACAACCAUUUUCUUAAUGUAUACACUGUUUAUGUGGCAUUCCAUAAUUAACUUUCAGCAAAUGCCCAAUAUAACCAUUAUGGCAGCCAAUAAGGACUCAAGUGUCAACUAAUUUCCAACUUUUUUUUUUAACCUCUUAUAUCUUUUCACACCCUUCUCACUCCCAAUUAUCAGGAUUCGAAUUUUGAACUUAACAGUGAAAGGAGAUCUAAAUCAACUUCAACUUCAUUAAAGCAUAAUGAAAAAUUUUGAACAGCUAACACGAGUUAGUUCAAUUGGUAAGGACGGCCAAUUUUUUUUUUUUUUUUUUACAAAAACAGAUGUGUUUAAAUUCCAUUAUCAACAUUAGCACUGUGCUGUUGAACGACUUGUAAGUUUUAAAUGACUUAUGAUCCACCUGUGUUGAUGCUCGAAGCCAAAUCAAUUUUGAGCAAAUUGCAAUUCAGGAAAAGAAACCCUUGAGAAGGGCAUUAUGCUAUAAAAUGAAAUGAAUUGGUGAGUUCAAAGUGGACUUAUUUUGACUAAUAUAAGCAUGAAAAAGUUGAUUCAUCUCUCAUUAUAAGUAAAUAGAUUUUUGUUUAUAAACUCCCCGUGCAUUAUACGUGUUUUUUUUUUUUUUGAGGGCAAUACGUGCAUUAUACGUGUUUGGACUUGGUAAUCAAUUUUGAGGGUAAAAAACAAUAAUCGACAUUAGGAAGGGCCAACUAAAGACAAAAUAGAGCCUAAGAAAAUUAUGAAGUCAAAUUUUGUACUCACAUAUCAUUACAUCCCUUCAAGAUCUGCUCUUGUCAAGUCACUUCACUUCCCACAAUCCCACUUCAGUCAGCUGACUUCCCACUUAAAAGUGAAAAAUCCCACCAAAUUGUACGAACAAACACCGGAUUUCAAACUCAAAAUUUAGCUAAAAUGCAUAUACCACCCAGAAUCCGCGAGAAAUUCCAUCAGAAUUCGAAAAUUCCUCUGCAUGCAAAGCCAUUUCUUCUUGCAGAUGUCCUAGUACCUGUAACGGCUAUGUCUGAGAUUACCCAUUCAUGGCCAUAAUUUUAAAAAAUGCAGCUUAUUCUGUACUCUUAGUUAACUAGUUCUGCACUCAUCACUGCGUCAGCCCACAAAAACCUGCCUUUUCCUUUCAUCCGACGACGGAAGUUCCUAGGCUUAUUGAUAAAAUCUCCUUGAUUUCUUCAAUUUUCAACUCUUGGGGAGAAAUUUUGGUGCAGGGUCGACGAAUUAAGGGCCAAAUUCGAGUUGGGUUGGCAAAAAUAUAAGAUUUUGGAGGUGGGUUUUGGGAAUUAGGAGCUAGGUUGCCAGCAUUUCUUGGGUUGGGGUAAUUUUGCCUCGUGGCUCUGUGGGGAUUUAAGUUGGGCAAUGGAUGUUAACGGUUUGGGUGUUUUGGAUUCGGUGAAGGAGCUUCAACUUCAAAGCCAGCUGAUUGAAGCUGGGGUGAAGCUUCUGGUGCCAUCUUCUUCUGCCGAUGAUCUUCUUGCUGCCCUCGAUGUAAAGAUCAUUUCUUUUAUGCUACAUUUUCUGCAUUCUUUUGAUGUUGGCUUGAUUUAUAAUUUUGUUUUUAGCUAUUUUGCAUGCAUGUGAGAAAUCGUGUAAAAAUGUUUUUGAUUUGGUCUUAUUGGGGGUCCUAUAAUUCGUGCUAAAAGGUUAUUUCUUGAGCGUUUUUGUUGAUUUAGUUCUUUGGUUUUGGGUGGUUGAGAUUGUAAAUUGGCGCUUUAUUUAUUUGGUCAUGAAUUUGCUGGAAAAAUGUGAAUUCUUUCCCUAAUAUUGGGUUUGAUUUUGUAAACCACAAAAAAUAAUUGCAUACGUUUACACCAGUUGGUAAGAAAUAGGCUAGCACCAAGCACGCACGAGGCACUAAGAGUUGUUCCUAGUACAUUAUUGUUUCAUAAUCAUUUUGAAUAAGGCAAAAUAUUUAUCGCAUUUUUGUUGAUUUUCGUGAUCUUUAUUUCUCAGUCCGUAGGUUCAUGAUUGUUUGAUGGCUUACUUCUGCCUGAUAAAUAUUGUGAAUGAGGCUGUCCUUUUUCCUUGAUGAAUUUGUUAUUUGUUCAAAUUUGUCGGCUUACUUCUACAUACCAUUUUGCGUUCCACCUCUCAUAGUGUAAAUUAACCAUCAUCCUCUUUUUCAUUCUGUUGUUUAGAAAGUAGAGGACCUUUUAUCCAUUGUGGGUCAAGAUCCUUCCAGUUUGAUUCAAGAUGGGCUCUUGCCUUCGAUGAUGGCUUUGAUCUCUGAUAGGCUGCUUAGACAUCCUAAUACAGAUGUCAGGAUUUCAGUUAUGUCUUGCAUCUGUGAGGUGUUAAGGAUAAGUGCUCCGCAUCAACCUUAUGAGAAUGAAAGAAUGAAGGUAAGCUGAACACCUACAACAGUAUCUACUCUUUUCUGUAUUUGUUUGUCUGCUUCCUAUUGUAUACUUGUUUAGAGCCAGUUCUCAGCCUUUUCAUUUGCAUGCUGUACAGGAUAUUUUUCGGUUGACUUUAGCUGCAUUUGAGAAGUUGUCGCUUUUCUCUGGUCGCUGUUAUGCUAAAGCUUUGCACAUUCUUGAAAUCGUUGCAAAGGUCAGAUGCUGCAUCAUCUUGCUGGACAUAGGCUGCGACUCAUUGGUCACUAAAAUCUUUGAAGUCCUUCUAAGUACCAUUAAGUAAGGCUAAGAUGUUACAGCUAAUCUUUAAAAUGUAUUUUUAUUGUCAAGACAUUUUGAUUAACUGCCUUUUCUCUUUGGAUCUUGUAGUAAUUGAUAUUUGUUAGCUUCUUUAAAUUAACUCUAAUACUAACAAUUAAGGUUAUCUUGAAUUCGAACUUGUAAUAGCAUUCCCAUUAUGUCCUGCAAAUAUGAUCCGCUUUCAACUUCGUGAACUCCUCAUUUAGCAGCAAUGAAAUUGAAAAAUUUGCUGGACUCAUGGCAAACCUUUAUUAUUUGUUGUCGAGUGAUCAACUCAUGGUUUGCAAUGCAACUUGCAUAACGGAGUAAUUUAGAAAGUUGUACCAAAUUAAACAAAUUAGAGGUAUUCAUUUGCUAAUCUUGCACCUGUCUCAUGCAAGUCAACACAUUCAAUUGUGAUGUGCUGAUUGUUGUUGUGUUUGAAUGUCUAAUACAAGGUUCAACCACCCGCAAGCUGUAUUCUCAUACAUGGAAGAUAUUAUGACUUGGCUUUUAGAUGAGAGUGAUGACAUCCCAUUGGGUCUUUUAAAGCCGCUUCUAGCUAGUGUGAAAAAGGAAAACCAGGUACCCUUCCUUAUAUAGAUCUCUGUUUCAUUUAUUCUUGUUCUUGUUUUAUUAUUACUCAGUUACCUUUAUUGUUUGCCUCAGAUUACUUCACCCGUUUCCUCUUGGUUAGGAGAGAAAGUAUUAAAGAACUGCUCAACUAAAGUCAGACCUUAUCUUAUGAAUGCAGUGAAGUUAAUGAGGCUAGAUAUUAAUGAUUAUGCCGAUAUAGUUGCUUCGUUAUGCCGAGAUAUGCCAGCUGGGGACAAUGUGGUGCGAUAUCUUCUAUCCUUCAACUGACUUCUUUUUUGGCAAAAGGCAGAUGUAGUUAUGAUCUGUGCUCAUCUCCAAAUGUUCAUGCUUGCUUCUGAUAUAGUUUUUCGUUGCUCAUUGUAUUUGUGAUGAUGGAGAUAUGUUUGGACUUCCUAAAAUUUCUUGUUCGUUCUCCUUCACUUUGUUUAUAACGAGACAUUAGAAAAUAUACUAACACUCAUCUUCCCUUAACUAAUAGCAAAAUUUGAAGUCAUUCAGUAAGUUAAUCAACUUUAAGGAGUAACUUAUGCUGUCAGUGGUUGUUCAUUCAAAUUAUGCUAUGUGUCCCAGAUGUGAGACUGAAUCUGUUGUCUCUCAUGCAUCAGGAAGCGUUUUUAGUCUUUAAGUUUGGAGUUCUUUAAAUUUAUUUGCGAAGUUGACUUUUUCCUAAAGAUGAGAAAAAGGUUCUUGUAAGCAAAAUUAGCAGACCAGGCAUAUCAAAUGGUUGGUAUUCCCCUGCUAAUUUCUGGUCGCUCUAGUGUAGAUGGUACGGAGUCCAUUGUGUUUGUUUCUGGUUUAUCGUUCUUCUUUCUGCUGUUGGAGUAGUUGAAAUAAAGAUAUGAGAUUGGCUUUGAUUUAUUUAUUUUGAAUUAAUCAGGUGAUGGUGGAAGCAGAAGCAUAUGCAUCUUUUGUUGUGCCAGCAGAGGCUGAGCUUUGUGGUUCACUGCUGCAUGCUGGCACAUCUCUACAGAUUGAUGAUGAUGACAGCAGAUCAAAGGAUGAAAUUGAGCAGACGAAGAGCAUGGCUAAAGAAUCUGUUGCCGCUGAAACUUUAGAAAGUGGAGGAGAAAUUCAAGCAAGAACAGGUGUUGGAAUAGUACCAAGUAGCAUGGGAAGAGAAUCUAAAUCUCUGGUAGAACGAGAGAAAGAUUAUGAACAUUCUGGGAUGACUGGCAGCCCAAAUUCUCUUGAAAUGCCUUAUAAGAGGAAGAAUCAUGGAAAAGUCAGUAGCUUGCCACAUAGUUUGUCUGCAGAAGAGUCAUCUUUUCAUCUAGAACCAGAGAAGGAGAGCGAACCAAGUUAUUUUCAACCUAGAACAUCACACUUUAACAGCACACCUCCUCCCAUUUCCCCAGAUCCAAGUGAUGGAGGUAAAAGUCUUCAGAGAAGGGGUAGGUCAAAGAAGAAAGGGAACAUGGCUAAUCAUGAUAGUGAUCUUGAUGGUCACUUUCAGGGCUCUGAUGGUCACUUAAGAAUAGGAUCUUCCAGAACAAAACAUACUGAAGAAAACCCUGUGAGAUAUUCAAGGAGGAAGAAAUCCGCUGUUAAGAAUAAUAUGGAGAGAACUGCUGGUGUAAAGAAUGUAGUUAUUAAGACGGAAAAAGACUUCCAUAGUGAUUCAGAAGAACAACCACUUAUUUUAUAUAAGUUAAAGGAUGGAAGAAAAGGAGCAGAAGACAAAAAAGCUCUAAAAUCUGAGGUAUUAUGUUUGUUCAUCAAUAAGUCAAGUAGAGGAACUUUGUUUGUUUAAGUGAUGUUUGGAUGCAUUACUACCUAUGAUGAUUAAAACCUUCCAUAUAAGCAAAGUGGACAAAGCUUUUUCACCACCCAAAUAGGAAAGUAGGAUGUUCAAUUUGAUGGAGGGAGUAAAAAUUUGAUUUUCCAAGUAAAGGGAGAAGCAAUUCUUGUAGCUUCAGUCUAAAGCUUUCUACUAGAGAAUGUAGAUCAAUAGAAUCAUGCUUGGCCUCUGUUGAGAUCUUCGGCAAGCACUCCUGGUUUCUCUAAUGUGUCUCAGCAGUGAUUGCUAAAUCUUGUUUCUGUCUCAUAUGCCUUGUUCUAAUGCAUUUUUCCCCCCAUAUAAUCUGUGGUGGUUUUUGUAUCUUAUUUCUGAUGUUCCUGUAAAUAUUUCUUUAACCAAUUUAGGUAUCCAAGAAACCUAGAAUUGCCAAAGAGUAUGGUGAAGAAUUAGUUGGUUCAAGGAUAAAGGUCUGGUGGCCCAUGGACAGUCGGUAAGUAACUUAAAUUGUUGAUAAUUCUCUAGACUUUGUAUCCAUCCUCCAUAUAGACUUCUUAAUUCUUAAAUCUUAAUGUUACUGUCAUUUUGACUUUAGGCUAAGUUGUUCUGCUUCUUUGAAAUAGCUUAGAGUAAUGGGAGAAUCUUCUAAGCCGUGUUUGUUGAUCUGGAUGUUACUUGUUAGAUAUUUGAAGCUAUUUCGAUCUGGCUUUUUUUCCAUCCUCAGCAAAGCUUUAAUAUGAUUUUUUUGGGCUUCAUUUUGACAUGUCCUUCCACCUAAACUACAUCAACCCCAAUUCUCGAUGCUUUUUGGCUCAAUUUAAAGUCUCCCUGUUUUUAUUUUCUGUUGGACGACACCAUUUUAAGUCCUGCCUUAUCAGUUAAACACCAUCAGUGGAAACUAACUUAGCUGGAAAGUACAAAAUUCUCCAAAAAGGAUGUUUUGGCUUCAAAAGCAUAAUUUAUGAAGUUCGUUCAGCUAAGCUAGGGGUCCAUUUUACUACUAUUGCCUGCAAUCAGACAAGACCACGGGUUUCCAACAACUCUGCAUAAUCCCAAACUGAAAAACUAGGAACCUUAUUAACUGCCACAGUGAAAUCUUUUCAGAGUUCCAGCAAACCUUUCCUUGACCGAGCAUUUCUCUGUAUUUUUCCUCUCCACAGCUGGGCAAUUGCUGCCUGAAUCCUCUAAUCGUUUUAGUAAAAGGAAUUUGAUACCGGAUUAUGAGUAGUGCCCUUAAAAUUUCCGUUUGCUGCAUCAAGCCAAUACUUUCAUUCUUGAAUAAGCCUUUUCUGAUCUUGGAAUAUGUGAUGGAAUGACGUUGCCUUGUUGAUUUGUUCUGUUGAUAUACGAGUUUUACUGGUUGGGAGUUUUUCUGGCAACUUCGGUGUCAAUGGUGGUUUGGUAAAAAUCUUUGACUAUGCUGUAAUAUGUACAGCAUCUCGCGCGCGCGCACGUCUGUGCAUGUGUGUGUGUAUAUUUAGUAACUUUGUAUUUGAAUCAACUCGGGCAAUUUUCUGUUAUUUCCAUUUGUACGAAGCUGAUUGAUAGGAAUGCAUGCCAUUGUAAAAGAAUCUUCAGUCUGUUAGAUCUAAGCAUGACAAAGUGAGGUCAGUACUGAAGCUUUCCUGUUGGAUAAUGUACUUGAUUACCAUUAAAGCUUGGAAGUUUGAAGUUGAUUGAAAAGGGCAUAUAGUUUGAGUGUAGGCAGAUUAAAGAUGGAUCGGUAAUAGCUUUGUUGAUUUGAAUUAGCAGAAAAGGAAACAAAUUCGAACCUUCUCUGGAGAAAUCAACCUAUCGGUGAGUAAUACUUGGGUCUGAAUGAGAUUUUAUUUUUCCUCUAGGGAUAAGUAUGUCCUUUUGACUUUGAAAGUUGAUAUGUUCAACGAAUACAUGAUCAUGAAUGUAUUAUAUGUACAGACUCCUUGGUGGCAAGACACCUUGGUCCAGAUUUUGCCGAAUUGACAAUGAACUUAAUUUUAUGAUUAGCACAGGUAGUGUUAUUGUUGAAAUGGUAAACUGGUUCUUCCAUAAAUUCCAAAUGAAAAUUCUACCACUGGGAUUGAGAUAAUUCAUCAAACUUCACGUAUUACAUCGGCCAAACUUGAGCCAUUUAUGCCAUCUUCAGUGUUAGGAAAGAAAUGGAAUGACAUUUUAUCUUAUUCAUUUUCUUUUGUGCAGGUUUUAUGAAGGCGUUAUUGCUUCUUUUGAUCCUUCAAAGAAGAAACAUAAGGUGAUAAUUUUUGCAAAGAUGGCCUAUUUAUUUACUAUUGCUAUCAUCCAACUCUCCAAAUCCUCCUGCACCCUUGGUUUGCUUCAUCCUGUAUAUUAUACCUCCAUGUUGUGCUUUUAGGCUGUGAUCUUUAUCACAAACUUAUAAUAAGAGAAGAGCACUUGUAAACAUUCCCCUUUAUCCUUUAGGAAUAUGACCUUUUGUGGUAGAUCCAUUUGCUACUGUAUUUCUCCCUUUGAUACAUAAUAGUCUUAAUUACUUUAAUAUAUUUAAGUGGCUAUAUAAAAAUUUUUGCUCCAUAAUACAUUCCAAGGAGAGCUGCUGUAUCUCACUGGUUUAACAUUUUGUGGUGAUCAAGAAUGUGCUGAUAAAUGGUUGUUUGUCUUGUGAGCCAUCACAUGCUCAUUUGCUCUCACCUGUGUUUCAGGUUUUAUAUGUUGAUGGUGAUCAGGAGAUUUUGAAUCUGAAAAAAGAACGUUGGUUUCUGCUUGAUGACCAAGUCAGUUACCUGAUUUUAUGCUACUCUUCAUUGUACAUUUUUUAGUUUUCUGUCCCACCCCCAUUCCCCCCAACCCCCCCCCCCCCUCCUCAAAUGUUGAUGGGAUGUGAUAUUAUCAGGAGAAAAAGGGCAGCCUUACAAGUUCUGAUGCUGCUGCUGUUCGGUAAGCACUAUUUGAGAAGGCUGUGUGUAUUCCUUUAGAUCUUUAAAACUUCUUUCUGUUGAAAAUCUCUCUCUUUUAACUUAAUCCACAAGUUUUCUCAAGUAGUAAAUGAGGCACUUUUUGAGGUUGUACUCUGCCUUGCCCAUAUCUGGAUCUGCAUGAUAAGUUUUAUGCUCAUGUUCAACGUGAGAAAAGUUGAUGGUAGUCAUUUGCUCGUUCAUGUAGCCAUGACAUUGAUUGGGAACUUCUGUACAUGAAUUUCCUUUUGCUGGGUUGCUUGUUAUUGGUGCUAGAUGAUCGUCUUCUUGCUCAUUUUAAUGACUUAACUGGUUAGUGUUUUCUUAUGUCUAAUUGUUUCAAAUUGAAUAAUCAAUAAAAGUUGGCCGAAAACGAGGAAAAGGGAGCUAUUGUAAUCGAAACAACCCUAAUAUUAACUGUAAAAAAAAAAAAAAGACAAAAAUCCUACAAAACCAUGCUAUAUCAAACUCUUUUCUAUGGAAGACGUUUCAUGUAAUGCUUCAUAUCUUGGUCAUUAUUUUUGGUAUUUUAUGUUUGUUUACUGGACUCUUUAACUCUGCGACAUUGCUCUACUUUUGACUAUAAUAACAGGCAUUUCCUCUACUCUAACAUGGUGAUGUACUUUAAAUUAGAGCAGGCAUUGGGAGUAUAACCACUUAAUCCAAAUUAGAAUUGUAUGUUUCUUUUAUUUUGUCAAUGCUUUUAUUUCUUUUCUCAUCUGAGGUUAUUGUUUGCUUUGGCCGAUGAACAUCAUUGAUUCACAGAAGAAGAAAGCGAACACAAUAACAAGAUAAAACUAAGAUGAUUCUGUUUCUUCAGAUAAAAUGUGUCUAUUAAUUAUUGAGUUCUGGAAUUUUGUGAUGCAUUCACGGCAUUUUGAUAAUUUGUGUAUGAUUGCAAUGAAAUAAAUUGCCAAGGGUUUCAUAACAGCCUAGGAAUUUCUGCUUUUAGAUCCCGAACUCGAGGCCGAAAACGUGGUAGGAAGUCAGCAGCAAGAUCUGCUCUGGAUAUUCUUCACAUCAAAACCGAAAUCGAUGUUUUGGCAAAGGAUGAUGAAGAAUCAAAGGAUGAGGAGGAGAAUCUCAGAAGUGAAACUCUCACGGAUGCAAGUAAAUCUAGCAACUAGAAGCUUAGCUGCACAAUCUAAAAAAGCAUCUCAGCAAUAACUCAACUGAUAUGCAUGGCAAAUCGCUAUUAUCGCAUCUUGAGAGUGGCAGAUUAAACUGCUCAAAACAAUAUAUGAGAAUAUCAUAAAGCUAACAUCAUGGCACUCUUUGAAGAGCAGAUCUUCUGAAAUUUUGUGGAACUUGAUCUUGAUACAUGCUAUGCAGUCGAUUUCUGCAUUAUAUAUAACCUUGUGAAACUUGUGGGGAUAGUAGUUAGCUCUUAGGCAUAGACAGGGCAUGACUUGUUAUCUCAGCCAUAUGGAGCUCUGGCAUGACUUAUUAGCACAGCCUAUGUUGUAAUGUAUCUCUAGUUUAGGUACCUUUGCUCCUUGGAAUCGCUUUUGGUGCCAGCAUGCUGAUGCUGCAAAUACAUGCUUGGUGGAAGUAACAAGUGAAUAAGGCUACUAUAUAUAUAUUCUGGUGGUAUUCCUGUCUAAAUUGGAACAAGUUCUUGCUUUCAGAACAUUUCCAUGCGUAUAUUCUUUUUUUUUUUUUUUAACAUCUCUGUUUAGAAGUCAGAAAGAUCCAUGCAAUGACUUAAAUUCUUCCAUCCAGAUGAACUGGAAUAUCUUAAUUAAAACUGUGCUUUGCUGACUGAUGAGUGGUCAAAGAAAGAAAAUAUGUUUGUCUUUUGUGCUUUUAAAGUUUUGUGAGGGUUCAUUUGGAUUAGAUUGUGAAUGCAAGGGGUUUAUGGUUUUUUUUGGCACUAUGCAUAACAUAGUCGUUUACAUUUUGCCAUUUGUUCUUGACAAACAUACUAGCUUAAUUCUUUAAACAAUAUAAAAUACAACAGACUUAAAAAGCAAAAUGUCAAAUAAAAAUGGAAUUUUUAUGAAUUUUCUGUUGUUCUCUAGAAUUUUUUUUUUUUGGGAUCUCUCGCUUACAUCCCUUAUUUUUUUCUUGAUGUUGCUUGUCUAGUUUUGUGGUAGUAUAAAUUUGGGUACGAUUAAUUCUGAGUGUAAAAAGAACAAAAUAUUCAAAAUCCCUCCCACCCACCCCCCUUCCCCAAAAAAAAAAAAAAAAAAAAAAAUCCCUACUGGUUUUUUUUGCAUCGAAAUAUAUUUUUUUCACUUUUGGUGAUAUCAUACUCAACAUCCAUCCUAAAACUUUUAUCGUGGAAAAAAAAUUAAUACAGAAUGUGAUGUGAACAAUAUGAUGGCACAUUACACAUAUGCAUAUGAGAAAUUAUUUUCCCUGAAGUACAGUUACAAAGUCCAAAAGCAAAAUUUAGAGUUAGCAUAAUUAUACUUCUUCUGUCCUAUUGAAACUUAAAAUUGUCAGACUUUUCAUUUUUUGAUAUUUUAAAAUGUUUGUCAUGUUAAGAAAAUAAAAAAUUUAAAAUGUUUAUCAUGUUUUUGAGAUUUCCCUUUUUGUCUUUUCUUCUAAUAUAGUCUUUUUAUUUAAUCAUAUUCAUAUUAUCAUUUAAAUUUAAAUUUUAAAUUUGUUAGAAUAAAAUUUAAAAGAGAAAUACAAAUAUCACAAUCAAAAUAUUCUUAAAAAGUUGUAAUAUUGAAACAUGACAAACAAAUUGGGAUGGAGUAACUAAAUGAAAACAAACGUGAAUAAUUUUGGGAUAUUUUAAAAGCAUAAAAACGCAUGUUUAUUUACUACAUUUUUCUGAUCCUAUGAGAAAUAUUAAAUUUUAUUCCCUGGAAAUUUUAGCUAAAAGUCCAAAAUCGGAAGAAAAACAAAAUAGAAAAAUAAAUACAAAAGCCUACGUGAUUCUGCCUUCCAAAUUCUAGAGUAUAACGGAUAGACCAACUUGGCGCCAAGUCUCAAUUCUCGUCUCACACUUAGGCUAGCCUUUUCAUCUCUCUCGUUCGCUACAUCAGUGAUCAUAUUUCUUCGCUCAUCCAAGUUUUUCCUCAGGUGAAUACCAUAUCUCUAUAUUUCUCUGUGUAAUCUCCAGAUUGAGUUCAUUUCUUCCUUGAAUUCUAAGAGUUCAUGGUUUUGCGGUUGAUUAUCCUUUUUUUUGGGGCCAAAUGUCUAUGUGUUUCAUUUUGGUGAUCUUUUGAUUGCCGAACAAUGGUUUUGCGGAUGAUUAUCUUGGUUAAUGGGUUUAUUGUGAAUGAAAAUGCUUGCAACUUUGCAGAUGGUGACUUGUUUCAAAUUGGGAUUUCUGCAUUAUACAUGAAACGAAAUUGUAUGUUUGAAUACCAAUAAAAAGGCCAUGGAAUGAAAACAAAUAAAACAAUCAAACAGGGAACUAAAGAUAAGUUGAUUGAUCUUUUUAUACUGAUUGUUGAAAGACUUCUAUGAACUGAAGAUUUAUACAUUUUCUUUCUGGGUAAGUCUGAAGAUAUAUCUAUUGCUGCUAUUACAUGAUGAUUUGGGUGAAAAGCCACUGGUAUUUGUUGUAUGUUGUCAAAGAGUAUCAAGAACUAAUUAGUUACUUCUUGUUAUGUGUUUGUUGAGUAGUGAUGAAGAGGAAGAGAAACUCGAAUGCAGUUAGAACCCAAAAUGGGGAAAGAGAAGCAGAUGGAGAGAUUGAGAUAACGAGUACUUCCAUACUGGAUUUACCUGAUUUUAUCUUCACGAAUGUUGUGCUGUAGCUGCCAAUUAAGGCGAUCAUCAUGUGCAAGUGUGCUUGUAAACCUUAGCGCCGCAUCAUAUCAGAUCCCCAGAUGCAUUACUCUCGUGCACAGCCUUGUCCUCUGGUUUGGACUUUGGGUAACUCACGAGUUUCCAGAAUGCUUUACCUAAUUGACCAUCUGAGGUUAAUCUGAGCUACAAUUCAGAUUACUAUUCUCCUGAUGGGGUCAACUUGAAGCUGGAUACCAGGUUGAAGAUCCCGCUGCGUAAUGCUCAAAUGGUGCCUCAGAAUCCUAGUGAUGCCAACUUGAGUCUUAGCAGUAAGGGUGGCUCUAAGAAGCGUUGCAUGAAUGUGAGAACCAUUAAAGCGAGGACGAAAGAGCAGAAGUUUCAGAUUGUUAAUUCAUGCAAUGGGUUUCUUUGCUUGUCGGAUCCCUCAUGUAACAAUCCCUUGUGUGUAAUCCAGUAACAGGGGAGUAUUUAAACCUUCCAAAGAUAGAUGAAGUUGAUAACAGCCCGAAAGAUAUAGUAUCUUGUGGUUUGGCUUCAGUGAGGAGACUAACGAAUGUAAAGUUAUUAGAAUGUUUGGUCAAGGAAAUCUGGAUUUUUGUAGUUGCCCGAUUACUGGUAAAGAAAUCUUAGAUGAAAGAGUGGCUGAGGUACAUACACUUGGCUCAGGAUCUUGGAGACACAUUGGUCAUGCUCCACCUUAUAGCUGUGAACUAAAAUUUCCUUCUUAUCUAAAUGGAUCUCUUCAUUGGAUAUGUGUAGAUGACUGGAAGUUCGACUUCAUGUACUCUUUUGACCUUGGCCAAGAGCAAUUUAGAAGCAUUAAGCCAUCUUCUUUAAAGAAUGGCAUGAAGGGUUGGGAUAGUCUGCAUAAUAUGAGCAUGGGCGUCUUAAGAAGUAGCUUGUGUUUGUGUGUUGGCUCAGUCCAUGAUAAAAUCCACAUAUGGAUUAUGCGGAAAACCCAAAACUUGGAAAAAUUCAUUUCCAUUCAGUUGUCUUUUGAUGAUAGGUGGCCUGUUGGUGUGCAACAGCCCAUAAAUUUCUUGGAAAGUAAAGGGUUGUUGAUGUUUCGGAACCCUAAAAGUGCAUUCCUGUACUAACAUCAAAACUGAAUUUGAAGUAGUUGCUCAUACCCCAAGUUUCAUCUCGUUCAAGGAUGUAGUGAUGGGAGAUAAUGCUGAGAUACUGAAUAUCAAUUCCGGAUGAUGGUUUACUACAUCUUAUGGUGUUUAAAUAAAUUACUCUUUUUUGCUAUUCCUGCAUUUUGUCUGCUUCAUACUGUACUAGUUAUUAGGUAUUGAAAAUUCGUUAUGUCUGAUGAAACUGAGAAUGCUUUGACCUUUGCAAGCGAUAGACAUAUAAGUUCUACCUUAUAUUGCAUAUUUUUGGGUAAAAAAUUAAUUGUCACACACCAAGUCUUUUCUGCCAUGUUGAGAACUUAACUUCCUCUGUUACUUGCAUGAUGAGAUCAUGAAUACCACAGCAAACUCGUAUCUUCUGAUGAAUUGUGCUUACUUUGGUUACUGGCAUUCUCCAUUGCCAUCGAUUCACUGCCUUUCAUCUCCAUAUGAUCCUAAUUGUCGAGCUCAAACCUGCAUUGACAUGGAGAUGAAAGGAUCAUAUGGCAAAAGAGUUGCUGAAAUGCUGUCAGCUUUAUGGUCUGUGUUUGCUAAAUGUACUCCAAUUGAAUUAUUGCUGAGUGGGUUCAUUACUUUAAAGAGUUGUACCAAGAUAUACAGUAGUAAACAUGCUGGACUUUUCAUCCGUAAAAUGAACCUGGAUGCUAAUAUUCAGUGCAGUUAUGUGCAUUAACCAUAUCCAGUGGUAUCCAUCCACUGGCUAAAUUUCUUUUCGACAUUCUUUACAAAUUUUAGUACUUGCAGAAUCCAGUAGUGAUGCUUCAAAGGUUUGAUUUCUUUGAUAUGAUAUAGGUGCAAUGAGUCCAAGCUGCUGGGAGGAACCAAAGCUCUCUUCUUGGUAGAAGAACUCAGGGAUUUGGAGAUGGACACAGAUUCCUCUUAUUACAGCGACCAAGAAUGAUCUACUGCAGAUUAGCACACUUGGGAAAGCACUUGAAAUGUUUUGAGAACUUAGUGCCUGCAGUUGGAACUUGGAAGCUGUUUCCCCUUUGUUAUUGGCGAAUCUACAUGCUUUUGCUAAGUUAUAAUUUCAUGAUAACUAUUUUAAAACAAUGCCGAGCACCUCCUUUAGAUGUAUGACUGAUUUGAAGCUUGAUGUUUUAGUCAUCAGCAACCCAUGGAAAUGUUUACUCUCUUUCAAGUUACUCUGUCCACCUAUUAUGUAUGGUAGCAACAAUUAGACCUCUCUAAGAGAGGCUCUUAAAACACGCAUCCGAUUCUCGGGCACCUUAAGGGAAUCGGACACCUUAAGGAGUCCCUUAUCGAGUCUCAUUCUAAAAAUUUGACAUAUGUAACAAUUCAUGUGAUUUCUCUAAUUCAAUCCUGCCCCGAAACGUAUUUGGCUAUUCUUUUCGCUUGAAUAUUAUGAAAUCCAGUCAGUGCAUUAAUGAUCCAACCAAUGAGAAAUCAUAUCAAACAAAAAUCCAUAAACCCUAAAUCCAUAAUCAGAAUUAUUCUAAAUCCUCUUAGCAUCCGAUGUUUUCCGUCACUCUUUACACCUUUUUUUAUUUGAAUAUUUGUGGUUGAUUUGGAAUUCCAGAAAAUCACUAUCAAAUAUCUGUGAUUUACUUGACUUGGAAUUCUAAAAAAUUACUACUCCUUUUAUGAAAAAUAAAUUUGUUUGAAGAUGUUAAAUUUUUAGGAUGAGACCCAGUAGAAAGCUCCUUAAGGGAGCUGAGGAUCCGAAAUUAGUGCCAUUCUCAAAAGAUUAGUCCUACAGAAAUUUCAUGAAGUAUAGAAUACAUGAAAAGUUUCCUUUUCUCGUAAGUUGGAUUUGUUUUUGUUUCAAAACCCCUCUUUGCUUUCCGUAAUAGGUGGUUUCUUGCAAUUUUCCCAUCAACAUCAAUUUUCCAAGGGACAAUCUUUAACAUGCAUUUACCUUACAAAAAGUGCAAGUAUAUUGUGAGGUAUCAUGUGUUGGCAUAUUAUAAGAAUUUUUUCCGAAAGAAUAUGAGAAGUCCAAAAGAAAAAUCUAGAAUUGGAAAAAUUUUAAGAAUAAAAUCGAAUGUGAUUAAUUUUGAUUAUAGUUGAAAAUUACAAGGUAAAAUACAGGUUUAUAAACAUAAUUUUCUGAAUACCAUAUAUGAUCAACUCUAAAUUUUGUUUUCUGAAAAUGUAUCAAAAAGUUCAAAAAUGACAAAAGCAAGUACGUACAAAAUCCUAGCGACUCUGCUUUCUAUUUUCCCGCCAUUGAAGUAAACUGCAGGCCAAUUUGGCGCCAAGUCACAAUUCCGGAUACAUUUGGGCUUGCCCCUUCAUCUCUCUCUCUCUCUCUCCCAUUUUCAAACUUUUCUCUCAGGUACACAUUUCUCUAUCUGACUAUCAGUAAUCUCCAGAAAAAAUUAAUUUAUUUACUCCUUGCAAUCUAGGAGUUUGUGGAAAGUUUUUUUUGGCUAAAUGACUUUGAUCAAUGUAUAUGUAUGUUUUUCUUUUUUCUUUUGAUAUUGUGAUUGCAGAGCAAUAGUCUUGCAGAUGAUUAUCUUUAUUAAUGGGCUUCUUGUAAAUGAAAACUCUUGAAAUUUACAUCUGCGGACCGAUACUAACUUGUUUCGAAUUGGGAUUUCUGUAUUUUUGCAUGAAAUCAAGAAAUAUGUUUCGAAUACCAAUGAAGAAAAAAAGAGGAACUAAACAUAAUUUGUGGUCUUUUUAUAUGAUUUUUCCGACUUUACUUAUGAUUGUUCAGAUUUUAAAGGCUUCUAUAGAAUGAAGAUUUAUACAUUUCUCGUAUUGAAUGAUGAUGUGGCUAAAGUUUUUGCUCCUCAGAUGUCUGUUUCAUGUUGUCACACAAUAUCUUGAACUAAUUUGUUGCUGCCUGUUAAGUGUUGAUGUUGAUCGAUUUUUUGCUUUGGACUUUCUUGUAGAGUAAUGAUGAAGAGGAAGAGAAACUCAAAGGCAGUUGGAAGCCAACAUGUGGAAAGAGAUGCAGAUGAAGAGACUGAGACAAAGAGUACUUCUAUACUGGAUUUACCCGAUUUUAUCUUUAAAGAUGUUGUGCUGCGACUCCCACUCAAGGCAAUCAUCAUGUGCAAGUGUGUUUGUAAACCUUGGCGCCGUAUCAUAUCAGAUCCUCAGUUUGCUAAGAUGCAUUUUGCCAGUGCACAGCCUUGUCCUCUGGUUAGGACUUUGGGUAACUCAAGAGUUUCAAGAAUGCUUUACCUAAUUGAACCGUCCGAGAUUAAUGUGAGCUACAAUUCAGAUAACUAUUCUCCUGAUGGGGUUAAUUUGAAGCUAGAGACCAAGUUGAAGAUCCCGCUGCGCAAUGCUGAAAUGGUGCCUCAGAAUCCUAGUGGUGCCAAAUUGAGUCUUUGCAGUAAGGGUGGCUCUAAGAAGCGUUGCAUGAAUGUGAGAACCAUAAAAGUGAGGACGAAAGAGCAGAAGUUCCAAAUUGUCAAUUCAUGCAAUGGAAUUCUUUGCUUGUCAGAUCCCUCAUAUAACAAUCCUCUUGCCAUAUGUAACCCAGUAACAGGCGAGUAUUUAAACCUUCCAGCGAUAGAUGAAGUUGAUAACAGCUUGAAUGAUAUAGUAUCUUGUGGAUUUGGCUUCAGUGAGAAGACUAACGAAUAUAAAGUUAUUAGAUUGUUUGAUCAAGGACGUCCGGAGCUUAUUAGUUGCCCAAUUACAGGUAAAGAAGUUUUUGGUAAAAGAGUGGCUGAGGUACACACAGUUGGCUCAGGAUCUUGGAGACGCAUUGGUCAUGCUCCAUCUUAUGGUUGUGAACUGAGAUUUACUACCUGUCUGAAAGGAUCUCUUCAUUGGAUCCGUAAAGAUGACAGGAAAUUGGAUUUCAUAUACUCUUUUGAUCUCAGCCAAGAGCAAUUUAAAGCAAUUCAGCCACCUCCAUUAGAGCACCGGAUGAAGGAUUGGGAUAAUCUGCGUAAUCUGAGCCUGGGAGUGUUAAAUAAUAGCUUGUGUUUGUGUGUCGGCCCAGUCUUUGAUGACAUCGACAUAUGGGUUAUGCAGAAACAUGGUGAACCCAAAAGUUGGACAAAGUUCAUUUCAAUUAACUUGUCUGUUUAUGAUAGAUGGCCAGUCGGUGUCUACCACCCCAUAAAUUUCCUAGAAAGUAAAGGGCUGUUGAUGUUUCAGUGUCCUAAAAGUGCAUUCAUGUAUUAUGAACCUCAAUUUGAUCAAUGGAAGUACUUCAGAAUUCAAGACAUCAAAAUGAAAUUUGAAGCAGUUGCUCAUACUCCAAGUCUCAUCUUGCUCAAGGAUGUUGUGACUGGUGACAAUGCUGAGAUACUGAAUGUCAAUUCAAGGUGAUGUUUUACUGAGUCUUGAUUUGUCUUAAUUAAACUAUUGCUUUUGAUAUGUUAUUCUUUGUCUCUCCUUUAGGGUACUAGUUGAUGUUGCAUUGGAUCUUAGUCUUGUUCAAUUAAGCUGAGGAUUUAUUUUCCUUUGCAAGGGGUAGACUAAACAAUUACACCCGAUAUUAUAGACCUCUGGGGAAAAAUCUGAUCAUCACAGAUUUAGUUUGUGCAACCAGUUAGGAGCACAUGUAAAUUCCUAUGCUGUUUUGCAUGAAAACAUCACUACUAAAACUCUGCAUCUUCAAAUGAACCAUACUGACAUUUGUUGCUGACGUUCUCUAUAGCUCAAAAUCCAUUAUAUCCGAUAUUAUCAUGCUCAAAAUUGCAUAUCUCUUGUAUGAAUGAGCAAAUGAGAUGACUUGCACUUAUGCGUGUAUAUGCUUAUAAGGCAUUAUUUUUCAUACAUUUUUUACUCAUGUUUUAAAUUGAAGACUUGUAAUUGUGGGUCUAUUUUCUUGAGUUUUAUGUUGAUGCAACACCUGCUCGUGCUUUUCUAGUUGUUGAUUGAGCAUGAUGGUCUCAAAUGAAAUUAAGUGCUAUGCCUGGAUAGAUAGUUUAAUAUAUACUAUUAUAACAGUGUUCAAAGAGGUUUUAUGACUUCAGAAGCUGCAUUUCCUUGUCUAUUAUUUUGUAGUGUCUUUUUUAGAGUUCGCUGUUUUAGCUGUUAAGGACUAAGGACUUGUACAUUUCGUGGGAUCCUCGUGUAUGGCGCUUGCUUGAUGCCAUCAAUCUACUCCGUGUGAUAGAACUUAGUAACUAGGAUUAUAAGUAAUCUUAUCGGCCUGUUGAUCCUGCCAAGUGGUUCAUUUUCCAAAUAGUUUUGCUUUCAUUAAUUUUGAUAUUGUUGUGCAGUAGAAAUGUUUAACUAGAUUUUUUAAUGUGCAAUCAAUCAUUUAGUAUACAAUGACGUAAGGAAAUAAGACUACUAGUUUUGCAGUCCCAAAAUGCUGUCAUUCUUAUGGUAUGUGCUCUGUUUUUUGGUUUACGACUUUCCAUAAGUUUUUUUUAUCAAGUUGUACAGUAUUAGAUACUGUUUGUACACACAUACUGAUUGGCUGCUGUUAGUUUCGGCAAUUAUUAUUUCGUAAUACCCAUAAGGAAUAAUACACAGGUAAGACAACCUUAGCAAUUGGAGAUGGAGCAAAUGAUGUUGGUAUGAUUCAAGAAGCUGAUAUUGGAGUCGGAAUCAGUGGCAUGGAAGGAAUGCAGGUAAAUAUUUGGCUGGCUUCUUUUUUUUUCAUUACUAUUAAUUUCGCGAAUAAGGUUUGAUAAAUUGAAUCCAAGCAUACACAGCAAUUAACUGAGGGAUUCCACAUUGAAAAACAGCAUUUUAUCUACAAGAAUGGAUGACAGCUACUUGCUACUUGUUUAUCAAUUACUAACUAAUAUGGAAUGAGUUUCUGAAACCUUGUGUCAAUGCAACAUGCAGGCGGUCAUGGCAAGUGACUUUUCUUUGCCUCAGUUCUAUUUCUUGGAACGUUUACUAAUAGUUCAUGGGCAUUGGUGUUACAAGAGAAUCUCCAAGAUGGUAAUACUCCAUCCUAUCUUGUGUUGCGUGUAUGCAAGUGCCCAGAAAAGAAAGAUAAUCGACUUUAUUAAGGUUCACUGACACAAAUUUUGUUCUGCUGCAGAUUCUCUACUUCAUGUACAAAAAUGUUGCAUUUGGCUUGACAUUAUUCUACAAUGAAAUUUACAGCAAUUUCUCCGGUGAUGAUCUGUAUGACGAUUGGUAUAUGGUCCUAUUCAAUGUUCUGUUGACAUCUUUGCCUGUGAUUGCACUAGGUGUUCUAGAGCAGGAUGUUUCAGCUGAUGUCUGUCUGCAGGUGAGAAGAAACAAGUUCUACGAUUUCAUAACACUAGCCUUCAUUGUUUGAAACCUCAGAUAAACAUGCAAUUCUCACGCGUCCCCAUCCCUACUGUCCCCUGAAAAAGCUAAUCUUCUUGCAAGAUUUUAACUUGAUUAACCAUUUUACCGUCACUGGAAUAGUUUCCAGCACUUUAUCAACAGGGACAAAGAAACAUAUGUUUCAGCUGGAAACGUAUCUUUGGCUGGAUAUUGAAUGCCACUCUUUCUUCUGUAGCUAUCUUCACAGUCACCAUAUACAUAUUUUCUCCAGCUGCACUCAGACAAGAUGGAAAGGUGGCAGAUCUAGCACACAUCGGUACCAUCAUGUAUACAUGUGUAAUCUGGACAGUAAACUGCCAGAUUGCACUCAUAGUCACACACUUCACUUGGAUUACCCAUGUUCUGAUCUGGGGAAGCAUCUUGUGCUGGUAUAUCUUCUUAGUCUUGUAUGGUAUGCUUCCUCCUGAGCAUUCUCAAGGUGGUUUUCACAUCCUUAUUGAGGCCAUUGGGACUGCACCAAUGUAUUGGAUUGUAACAUUUCUUGUAGUAGUUGUUACACUCCUUCCAUACUUCAUUUUCAGUAUAAUCCAAAGAUCAUUCUACCCCAUGGAUGAUCAAGUGAUCCAAGAGAUCAAGUACGGUAGAACGGAUGUAAGCAACAAACCAAUGUGGUUGAGGGAGCAGCAGAACUCCAGGAAGAGGACUCAAAUUGGAUUUUCUGCAAGAGUUGAUGCAAAAAUUCGUCACUUGAAGGAAAGAUUGCGCCGAACGAAAAAAUGAAUAUACGAAUUUGUCACAAAUAGCUAGUUUAACAAUCAGCUGGAACCAGUCAAGUGACUAAAUGAUUAUUAAGUGUAUAACUUCCUCAUUAUCAUCGAAGUAUAUUGUAAUUAUUUAGCAAGUUAGAAAAUAAAGCAUGGCUAGCAGCUUUAGCAAGGCUUAGAGUUAUGCAGGUGAAGUCCCUAAUCUGCAUUUCUUGCGAACUUAACUUGUCUUGGCUGUGAUUUCUGGUUCUUUUUGGAAGGAAAUUAAACCGAACUGUAUUACCUAAUCUUUUAGUCUAUUGUUUGGUGUGUUGUUUGUCUAGUUUCCAUAUUAGAUUAGGGAAUCUCAAUCAGUUUCCAGUUAGGUUUUGAUUUACAUUUGUAUUUGUUUUAGGAAGUUUUAGAGUUUAUAAAUAUUACUAGUUUAGUAGGUUAUUAAUUAAAGAGUAGAGUUAGGUUGAAUUGAGUCUUUAAAGAUAGAUUUGAGAGAGUCUCAUAAUUGAAUUUGUAAGUUGUCAUUAGUGAAAGGCUAUGACUUGAUAUUUGUUUUUGUUGAGUUUUGAAUUAAAUAAAUUAUUGACUAUUUGUUCUCCUUCUCUUCCCACAUAUUUUUAUAUGUGUCAAAAUUGCUUCCGCUAUACACGUGAUUUUUUGUGCCAACAAGUGGUAUCAGAGUUCUAGAUUCAAGAGUUUGAUUUUGGGUGUCUUUGGUGGUUGGAAAGGUGCAAAAUUUUUUGAUAGAGAAACCUAUACCAUAAAAAGGUAUAAAGGUUGUUAUACGUAUAUUAAAAAAUUGAAUCACAAGAGUUGGUUUUGAAGUACUAGUUCAUUGAUUGGAAUUAGAAAAAAGACCCUAAUUGGACAAAGGUCUAAAAAGAAGGAUUCUGUCAUGAUUAUUGAUGUUAUGCAGUGAUCAAAACAAAAAAGAUCGUGUCAGAUUGUUGAUUGUCAGUUUGUCACAAUAAAAUUUGAUCAAAUCUGAAGCCAGGGAAGUCAAGAAAUUCAAGAAGGGAAGAAAAAAAAUAUUUGUCAAGAUAAGUAAAUUAUUUUGAGUUGUCAUGGAUAGAGAAUUUGUAAGUGAUGAAAAAUUUAAAGUUUUACGCACAUUUAGUGGUGAUAAAGAAAAAUCUGAAUGGUCAAGAAUAAUGCACAAAUAUCUUAAAAAGUGUGGUUUGGGUGAAUUUCUUAAGAUCAAUCAAAAGAAAUUAAGAGAAGGAAGGUCAGAUUAUUUUUCAAAAUAAUGCGAAAAUCAAUGGUUGAAAAGUAUUAUAAAAGGCUUAUCAUCUCUAAUCAAUUGGCUUAGUGGUUUUGGUUAGAUCUCUUUUAUAUUUUGAUGAUAGAAUUUUCAUAUGAAUAUAAUUCUAAGUCAAAAAUUGGUUUGGAACGCAAAGUUAAUUUAAAGAUGAUGUGUUUGUUGAUGAUAAAGAGACUUUUGAAAUUUUUGUUAUGGUUGAAAAUUAUAAUUUGCAUAUUUUGUUUGGGAUGAUUGAUGAAGAAGAAAUUUGUGAUGGAAAAAGAAGAAAAAGAAGUUUUUGAUGAGGCAAAUAAAGAAGAAAUUGUGGGUGCACAUGAAAAUAAAGAAUUUGUGACUCAAGAAAAAAUUUUACAAGUUAGUUGAGAAAGAAAGUGAAAUCAUUGGUCAAAGUAAAGAGGUGAUUAAAGAUCGUGACAAUGUAGAAAUUGUUAAUUUUGUUGAGAUUGAUAAAUUUUUUGAAGAGAAAAAUCAUGUGAUGGAAUUGGUUGAUAUCAAUUAUGAAGUGGAUGAUUUAGUUGAAAAUUGUGACACUAUCAAGGUUGAUGCAGUUGUCAAUGUGAAUCAAUCAACACAAAAAUAUGGUGAGGUUAAAAAUCUUGGUGAAAAAAAUUAUGAUUUUUUUGGUUUUGGGAGAUUUUAUUAGUGACAUGGAUGAAUUGAAUUAUGGAGUAUUAGAUGAAGAAUAGGUGGAUAUGUUUGAAUUUUUUGACAAGAGUGAUCAAUCGAAGAAAUUACUCAAGAAGUAUAAGAUUCAUCCACUACUACGUGUAAAAAUGAAAUUGAAAACCAAUCAUAAGUUGAGAUUGAAUGUUGUGUCUAUCGCAAUCGAGUUUUUCAUGGAGAGUCAAACUCGUGAUAGCAUUGGAGAUGACAAUGAAGAGUUUGGUUUAAGAGAGACAAUGAAAGAAAUUAAACCAAACUGUAUUUAGUUUUGCAAUCCAUUUAGUUAAUUGUUUUGGUGUGUUGUUUGUCUAGUUUUCAUAUUAAAUUAGGAAAUUUCAAAUCAGUUUUCAAGUAAGUUUUGGUUUACAAUUAUAUUUGUUUUAUGAAAUUUUAGAAUCUAUAAAUACUACCAGUCUAGUAGGUUAUUAAUUGAAGAGUUGACUUGAGUCUUGAAAGAUAGAUUUGAGAAAAAGUCUCAUAAUUGAGAUUUGUGAGUUGUUGUGGGCUAAAGGUUAUUGAUAUUUAUAAUUGAGACUUGAUAUUUGUUAUUGUUGAGUUUUGAAUUAAAUAAAUUAUUGAGUAUUUGUUCUCCUCCUUUUCCAAUAUAUUUUUAUAUGUGAUAAAAUUGCUUUCGCUAUGCACGUGAUUUUUGUGUGCCAACAUUUUUUAACUUCAUUAAAAUGUAUAUCCAAACAUAAUUUGUUAAUGAAGGAAAAGCAAGGAAAGAAAGUAGGAUCAAUGGUAAUUUUAUCUUACCCGUUUUGUUUUCAUGGGCAAAGAACAUGGCAAAAAGUUACAAAGUUUGAGAUGGAUUUAAACAUGGGAUAAUUUCAGAAACUUCUCCUCAGGUUUCUGAAAGGUUUUUGACUAUUUUCACUGAUCUCCCUCCAAAUUUUAAAAAUUACAUUAAUCUUCCUUGAGGUUUACUAUCUUAUAAUAGGGAUAAUUUCAGAAACCUCCCUUGAGGUUUCUAACAAUUUCACUGAGGUCCCUUAAAAUUUGAAAAAUUACACUUACCUCCCUUGAUUUGAUAGUUUUAGUAACAAAACCUUAAAAUAAUAUUGACUUGGUCAAAUUUUAAGUGAAUACCCAAAAAUGCCCUGUGUAAUGAGUUUUAAUUUACUUUUUCAUACAAUUAUAAGAUUAUCUUGUAUAAUUAUAAGGAAAAGAUACCAAAAUUUUCAUGUUCAUAACUUCUAUUUGAUAAACAACUAUAAUAAUAGUAAUAAUAAUAAUUUUAUCACUAUGAUAUGAUACUUUUGAUGGUAUUUUAUUAUGGAUUUAGAUUUAUAAGAUAGAAAAGAAAAUGAUUCAUUUAGAAUUUAUAAAUUUUUUGAGCAGUGAGAUUAUCAUAAUUUAGUACUGAUUUUGGGUUAUUUCUUUUUGAUGUGUUAUUAAUUUUAAUGCCAAAAAAUAGAAAACAAAGAUCAACAAAAACAUUGGAUUGCAUAGAAAGUUAACUGAUAAAAAAUUUACUAGUUUGACAUUUGGUUACAAUAGAAACUAGAAGUAAUAGUAGUGUUAAUUCUAUAGUUUUAUUGGAAAAAAUUUUUUAAAAAUGAAUAAGAAUGAAAGAAUGAAAAAAUAAUUUUUAAAAGUCAUUGUAAAUAUAAGCAUACCAAACAAGGGAAUUUCAUUAAAAUAUUUAAGGGUAGUAUUGUCAUUUUAAAUGACGAGUGAGGUAUGUAUAAUUUUUAAAACCUCGAGGAGCUAAAUGAAAUUGUAAAAAACCUCAACGGAGGUUUCUGAAAUUAUCCCCUUAGAAUAUUUAGGUCCAAUCAACAAUUAAAAAGUGAUAUUAGAACAGAGAAGAUAAUAUGAUUUCCCAUUAUCGCUCAUUUACUAAAUUGUUUGAUUAAUCUAAUAUUUGCCCAAAUACUAAAGAAAAUAUUAGAAUUUGUUGUUAUCAUCAGUAAUUAAAUCACAUAUAGUAUCAAAAAUAGUGCAUCAUUUUAUAUAUUUUACUUAUUGUAAGAUCUCAAUUGCACAUUUCAGUUAUAAAUCCAUUAUCAUACAUGAUUAACAACAAAUAAUGAAAAAAAAAAUUUGUAACCAAAAUAUUAUAAAGUGCAAGUUUUAAUACCAUAAAAAUAUCAGCAACUAACUUUAAUAUGUUGACAAGAAUAUUUAUGAUGUUAAAGUUUGUUCUCUAUAAUAUUUUAGUUGCAAAUUUUUUAUUAUUUAUUAUUGAUCAUAUUUAACAAUUGGUAUGUAAUUAAAAAGAGUAAUUUGGAUCUUAUAUUAAGUGAAAAAUAUAAAAUGAUAUACUAUUUUUUGAUGUUAUAUGUGAUUUGAUCCUUAAUGAUAAACAUCAAAUUUUAGUAUUUCUCUUUAAUGUGUGGGUUGGUAUUAAAUUAAUUAAAUGAUGUAGUAGAUGAGGGGCAAGAAUAGAAUCAUAUUAUUUUCGCUAUUUUAAUAUCACUUUUUAAUUAUUGAUUGGUGCUAAAUGUUACAAUAUAAUUAAUCUCAAUGAAUGUUAUUGUAAUUUUUGAAACUCAGAGGUUUCUGAAAUUAUUCCUAAAAACCUCGGGGAGGUUUCUGAAAUUAUCCCUAAAAACAAACAUUACAGAGGAAAUUACAAAUUGCACCAAACUUUGAGGGCCUCAAAGUACUUAACGCCAUUUCUGAAGUAAUCUGUCUUCUCUGCUCAUUAAUUUGCAGGUGUUCUCCGACUCCAUCGGUCUCUCUCUAAUACACGUCACUAACUAUUUUCAGCGAGAGGUUAAAAAUGGUAAUUAAUUGUAGUUAAAUUAAGCAAUCCAAAAUUAGAGCCGGAUUCUAUUUCUAUGGAAUGUUAGAUAGAAUAGGGAAAGAAUUGCCGUGCAAACUUGAGAGUGCCAUUUAUCACCUGAGGAUUAAAGGGUUCCACUGCAAACUAGAAAGUUAGUAAAAUUUUGAUCACCUGAAGAUUAAAAGAUCAUUGAUUUUAUUUCAAGAUUUUUUGACCCUUUUCAGUUUAUUCAUUUUUCUGAUCAGUUUUUACUUGUGUUUUGCAGCCCAGCUGAAUAUUGAAAGAUGUCCGUCAAUGCAGAUACAGAUUCACCAGGUAAUCUCUACUAAAUGCAAGAUUGAUUGUAUUCUUGAUUCAGUUUCUUUAGAACUUUUAACAGGGAAGUUAUAAACCAAGUGAAAUGGUAUAACUUGUACGUUUAAGGUAUUUUGUUAUCUUAAAAUGUACCGCAUUAGGCUUAAAUCUUGCUUCAGGUGACACAUGUAUCUAAUUUUAAUUGUCUACGGAACAUAGCUGUUAAGAGUUAAAGAUGCUAGAAGUAUUUCUUUUCCGUGCUAAAUAUGCUAGGAAGCCAGUUCAUGUUGUUCCGCAGACAAAAGUUUGAAAAGAGGAAAUGCUGUUUUUAAAGUUGAAACCAGACCUAAGUUUCGGAGGAGAUCUAAGAUGUCCAGGCCCAUAGCAGGAUAUAAGUGAUAAGCCUGCCUUUUAAGUAUGCAACAGAGGCCGUAUCUUAUAAUCUUACUGUAAUGAUGCUGACUUGAAUAAUUUGCAACAUAUCAGAAAGAAAUGAAGAAUAAUCUAAUUCCAGAAGCCUAGGUGCAGAGUUUCUUUUUUUUUUUUUUUGGGUUGUCUCAAAUGUGGUUAUAAUGCCUCAAGCUACAGUAAGAAGAUUUAGUGAUGCAGAUGUUACUGCUCUAGCUGUUUGGAAGUAUGUAACUAGCUUUUCUUGUCAGCUGUAUCAAGCUUUUGUCUGGAUUAGAUGUAUAGGAUUUCAGAGUGUUGCAUUGUUUUCCUUUUAUUUUCUGUGGGAAGAGAGACUUGGAGAAAAGUUUUAUAUCUAAGCCUGUAAUUAUUCUCCCUGCAGAAUAUUGAAACAUCAGACUGGCAAUUUUAAACAUCAGAUGAAGGGUGCAGCUACUACAUUCCGUAAUGAACAUGAUCCAUUUGAUUUUAUAAGAUUUUUAUAUGGUAGGUUUAUGCUUUCUAUGUUAUUCUUGAAUAUCAUUGUUGGGUCAAAAGAAAUGUUAACAUAGCAUGGUUAACAUAAGUUUUGUACCGAUGAGCUUUACAUCUACAGACAAAAAUUGCUAGACCUUGUGCAUUAUGUUGCAAAGACAUAUUACUACAAAAUCUGUUGCUAUUUUCAUUUAUUAAUAGCAAGUAGCUACAUGCUUUGUAUGUCCAUAUAGUUUUUCAAUUCUUUAAUUUUGUGGAUUGGAAUUCUUUUCUUUAGUUUUGGGAAGCAAGUUUUCGGUGGGAAUAUAAAGGACAACUCAACAAUGGAAAGCUUGAAAUGAGAUUUGACAAUAAUAUUAUAUAGCAUAAAAGUGGCUUUUAAUUGGUCUGGAUUAUGAUUUUUGUGGGUUUAUCAGCCCUAUCUGUCUCCAUGUAACCAGAUAAUUGUCUAAUGGAUGGUGUAAGUCCUUUUUUUUGGGGGGGGUAAAAUAGUGCAUGCAUUAGUCUCACAAUCCAAGCCGCAGGGAAUGGUUGUUUUAGAUUACAUAUACUGAAAUGUCUUGUAUAUUGGUUUGUGAACAACAAAACGACCUCUAAACAAAAGUAUGUUGAAGUGAGUGCAUGAAAUUUGAAAGUAGUGUAGUCUGACUGAAGCUUAUAGAUGAGAUGGCUGUGUGGAAAUGUCUAAAAUUGGGGUUCUUGCUUUGAAUAAUUGAAUUACUACCACAUGUUUUAACUUUAGGUCGAUGCUAAAGCAUUAACAAAGUUCAGGAACUUGACAAAUGAACUUUUAGUUCUGCUUGCAUUGCUUGGCAUCAUACUAAAAUAUUGGUAACUGACAGUCCUAUCAUAUAGCACUACAAUUUAUCUGUAUAAAUGACUGGCAUGUUCUAGAUAGAAAUGUGUUACCCUUUCAUUGGAAAAGUUGUUUUAUAUAUAUUGGUAGUUUUGUCCAAUCUACAACCCUUUGCAGUAUUCCAUUGUAUGGUUUUGCAGAGGGUGCUGUAGCUGGAGCCACAGCUGGUGUUGUCGUUGAAUCUGUUCUGUACCCAAUUGACACCAUCAAAACAAGACUUCAAGCAGGUUUAUUUUGUUAACACAUUUUGUUGUAGUCUUGUAGAUUAAAAAGUAGCUGAUUAAAAAGAUCAGAUGACAGUUCCACCUGUUGUUUGGUGAAGCUUUACAUUGACGUAUUUCUUCUUGUGAACUGAGGUGAUCUGUUUUGCUUUUCAUUGUUUUAUGGUAGGCAGUUCAUGGUGGAGGAAAGAUCAUAUUAAGGGGUCUUUACUCCGGAUUGGCUGGAAAUCUUGUUGGGGUCUUACCGUAAGUACUUAUAACUGCAACUGCUGUUUUUCUUGUGCUCUACGAGAAACAGAUAGAUGAUAAUGUCAUACAAUGCAGUCUAAAGUUGAUUUGAGCAACCUUGAUUAUGUAGAUUGGGUAUAGAGGCUGCAAUUAUAUUGAAGAUAACUUCUUCCUGUAGAUAUGGCCAUAAUUUGAUUUACUAGUUUUCUAUGUGUUCUGGGAGAAGUGAUGGGACAUUUAUAUUCUUUUCCUAAGAGAUAUAUUAUGACCUACACCUAUUGUAGCUGGAGAGAGACAAAGAGCCCAAACCAGUGGCAGCAUGUUCUUAAUCAGAGAGUCUUCAACUUGGCCUUUAAACAAGAAAAACUUCUUUGUUGUGAUCCAUUAAAUAGUUGUCUUAAUUGACUGGAUCACUUCAAGAAUUGGCGCCACUUAGAAAUUAGAUAGUCAUGGCUUUAUGCACAGCAGGACAUUAAGGGCGCAUCUUAAGUGUUUCUUGUGGUACUUCUACAUGAGCUUCUCCGGGAAUGUAUUUUUGAAUACAAUUGCUUAUCAUGAGACUAAGUCAGAUAAUAGGAAACCCAUUUGCAGAGUGAUGUAGAUGGUUUCUUCUGGAAUCUCUUGAGUCUUUUUAAGAUAACAAGAAGCUUAUACAUAAGGGAAACUAGUGAAGCUUGUAAGGUUAAUGGGUAAGCUUAAGGUAUCAUGCGGCUGGAUGUGUUUAUGUGUAAUCAUUUAAGCAGUCUGCCUCUUUGAAUACUGUGAAGCUCUUAUGACAUGCAUUAAAAACUGUUCACCUGGUUUGGUAUGAUAAGACAUACUAAAUUUUGAAAAUAAUGUAUGUGCUUCGUUACUCUCCAUGAUUUACAUGUUUGGAGGAAGCAAAAUUAAUAUGUUAUUUUUGUUGUCUUUAAUUUUUGAGUCUGUGUUUUCUCCUUCUUUAGCUGCCUUUGCAAGUAAUAUGUGACCACAGAGGCAUGAGAAAGUGGUAAAUCGAGCCACAGGUUCCUUGGAAGGAGUCUAGAAGGAAGAAAUAUAUAAAGUGGUUCUUAAUGAUAAUUAAGAAACAUUGCCUAUGGUAGUCUGAAAAUGGUUAACUGUGGUGCUUUCUGUUUAAUAUAGCCAAAUUGAAUUCUUGAAUCCUGACAUGGGAAUCACUAACAUUAGUUGCACAAAAAAUUUAAUAACUUGUUUAUCUAUUUAUGGUGGCAUUAUCUGCAUCUGCAAGGAACCUGCAUAAUUUCUGAUACCUGUGUUGUACUUUUACUUCUUGCAUGAAGAAAUUUGUUGAAGCUUUUUGGAGUUAUAGUCUUUAUGGGAAUAACUUUAACUGCUUUUCAUUGUUCUUAGCGAGAGUGCAGGACAAGUCUUGACAAAUUUUCUAACAUUUUGCAGGGCAUCGCAAUAUUUGUUGGUGUAUAUGAACCCACAAAGCAAAUGCUUUUGAAGAGCUUCCCUGAAAGUCUCAGCGCCUUGGCUUAUUUGGUUAGUUUUGAAACUAUACAAUAUAAAAGUGCCAUCUCUUUAAUGGCGUAUUACAGUUGCUGCUUCUUUCUAAAUUGAUUUAACUGCAAAUUGUUACAUUGAUACAACAAUGAAGAAAUUAAGGAGUUAUCUUCCAGUAGCAGAUUCUACUCUUUGAUUUAAAUGCCUCCUGUAGUUCCUAUUGGGAUGGCUAAUUUGUAAUUCGAACUAAUCAUCUUCAAGAUCAUAAUUAACUCCUGUCUCUUUACUUUUCUGCUAACUCCAUUUUUUUUUCCUGAUCCAGGAAAUCUAAUUAUAUCUGCUCAAACUUUUUCAUUAUUGUUUAAAUACCUUUUCAUUUGGGGCAAAACUAAGUGUAGAUAGCUGAUAGGAGUUGUCUAAUAGCUUUAAUUGUAUUUCUAUAGUGAUGAAAUGAGCUAAAUCAAAACUUUCCUAUGUCUUAUUGACUGAGACAAAAAAGAAAUAAUUGUCUUCCAUGUUUUAAUUUGCAAUGUUUAAAGAUUUUGAAUGCUUUUUCAGACAGCAGGUGCUGUGGGUGGGGUGGCAUCUUCUAUUGUUCGUGUUCCAACUGAGGUAUUCAAAGUUGGUUAUUCUGUUUUAUUUAUGGGUGUUGUAUGAAAUCCUUAUCUUUUAUAACUACUUAGGUUGUUAAGCAAAGGAUGCAGACUGGACAAUUUUCAUCUGCCCCCAAUGCUGUGCACUGUAUUGUAGCAAAGGAGGGCUUUAGAGGCCUCUAUGCUGUACGCCAUGCUCUUAUCUUUCAGGGUCUAAAUCUUUGUUUAAGGUGCUAUAGGUUUUCCAUCUUUUGAAAGUCUUUUACUGCACGUUUGCCUUCACCUUUAUCUUUACUAUUGCAGGGAUUUGGAUCCUUUCUGUUGCGAGACUUGCCUUUUGAUGCUGUACAGUUCUGUAUCUAUGAGCAGCUUAGAAUAGGUUAUAAAUUAGCGGUAAGAGAUCCAAAUAAUUAUUCUUUCAUUUACUAAAGAGGCCUAAUAUUUUCCCGUGGAAAUGAGAUUUUAUUUCCUACUUUGAUGUAGCAGGCUUAGAAGCAUCUCACAAAGUUAUAAAAUAGCCAAACUAGUCAACCUCUAACAAGAUAAACUGAGCACAUUCCCAUAUCUUUUGAAAAAAUGAACACUAUUGUUGUUCAACUGUGCCACCUGAUAUUUCCAUCUUCUUUUUUUGGUAAUUGGUUGAUCUCUGGAAAGAUGGCUUGUGUAGUGUCACUUGAGUAGAAAUCUAUGGCUUAUUUUGAUAAUGGAUCAUUAACAAGGACUAAAUUUGUCAUGACCAUAUAAAAGAUUUAUUGCCUUUGUUCUACAGCUUCUCAGCAUCCACUCUACUUUUGAAGUAUGGUUAUUUAUUGUUUUGCUAACUUUUUUGCAGGCUAGAAGGGAUCUGAAUGAUCCUGAAACUGCAAUGAUUGGUGCUUUUGCUGGUAACUACAAUCUUGUAGGAUUUUGUUUUUGAAAUGCAUAAGGGUUUCAUCAAUUAAUAUUUUCUAGUCUUCUGCAACGCUCAAUAGUGGUCAGGUUGUGAAAUUUUCCUGAUUAGUAUGGUUACAUAUAUUAGCUGUAGAGUUUGACUUUGUUAUGUUUGUCACCGGUUGCUUUUCCGUUUAAUCAAUGCUUAAGAAAUUGUAAGAUACUGCAAAAGCAAGGUUUGAAUGCUUAUGAAUGCUUAAGAGAGUUGACAAGACAAUGCGAAAUGAGAGGUCAAUGCUGUUCUAUCCCUUCCACAUUGACAAGACGGUGAAUUGACUUUCUUGGAAAAGGUAUUGUAAUGCUCAAACAUAGCAACUGGAAUGCACCUGCUAGUUGUCUCGUACCCGAAGCUGACUUAACAUGGUAAAUGUCGUUGAAGUUACCUUGAGAUUUGUCCUAAAACAAAACUAUUCUGUCUAAGUAAGAUGACUACAACUUCUACAUCUAUGAGUAUUAGUCUCUUCAUAUUACCAGUAAGGGACUGAAUUUCAUGUUUAUACCUUCCUGAAAAAUUAAAUAAAAAUUUAGGAAUUAUUCUGACAACUGCCCUUGGAUUUAAACACUGUCCGCAACACAACAUUAAAGACUGAGUCAGACAGCAGAAAUAAUGUGACAUAUUCAAAUUGAAAUGGUUUGUACACCAGUGAAGUACAAACCACAAUUAAUUCUUUUGUAGUAAAUGGCAAGUUGAUGCACCUGCUCCUGUCUUAGAUCUAUCAUGUCUUUGCUUGCACUUUUUAAACAUCUCCUGAUUAACCUUUCUAAUGAAAAUGAAUUCAUUAAUAAUAGACAAUACCAUGAUCAAUUUUUUUUUUCCCGAUACGAAUUCCAUGGUCACUAUAUUAUUGUUUGUGGUUGUGAUUCCUACUUCUACUCAGAGUGCUUUGAUUCCAAGCUCCUGUUAAUGUGGUGGUCUCCAUUGCUUUUCACAACUUCAAUCCCUGCUUCCUGGUCUCCUUUUUUUUUUUUAUAAUCCACUCCAUGUAUGUCCAUAGGUUCAUCUUUAUGAAAGCAGAUGCACUCCAUUUCACUAGCAGAACUGUCUAAUUGCCUUUUCUGCAACUCUAGUUCUAGAACGGUGGGUGCAUCAUCAGAGGCAUGUGGUUACAUAGUUGAAAUACAAGAGACGUUCAUAAGAACCCUUGAGAACUUUCCCCAUUAACCUUUUUAGCAUAACGCUUAUUAUACUUUUACCAAAAUAAAAAGCUCAAGGAUCCUUUUGUUAAUCUAGUUGCUGAUGCUGCAAUACUGCACAGGAAAUCUUGCCUAAUUUGCACACCAUGCUGAUCCAGGUAUUAUGCAGUCUGCAUCUGACUGCAAAAUUGUGAUCCUUUGGGUGACUAGCAGUGAAUUCAUUUUAGUCAUCUUACUAAUACCUUUCUCAAUGUAUUUGAAUUUGUGAAUUCUACUCUUGUGGCUCACUCAAUAUUAAAGAAUGAUUAACCAUGGUUCCACCUCUUCCGCAUGCAUAUCAGUGAAACUGAACAUCCAAUCUUAUAUGGGAAUCUCUUGGAUUUCUUUCUUGUUAAUCAACAGGUGCAAUAACUGGAGCUAUAACAACUCCAUUGGAUGUCAUAAAGACUAGGUUGAUGGUUCAGGUGUGCUUUAAUGAUUGAUGCUUAUGCGUUAAUCCUUCAUUCUUUCUUAAAUACAUACACAUGCUUGACCUUCAGUUGUUUACCAUUUUGUUAAUUCUUCAGGGAUCUGAAAAGCAGUAUGAAGGCAUCCUCCACUGUGUUGGUACUAUUGUCAGAGAAGAAGGCACCUCCACUCUUUUUAAGGUGUGUCUAUAUGUUACACAUAAUAUACCCUCUAUCCUUGAUUCACAAAGACUUUAGAUAUUGUUAGCCAAUUUUAUGUCUUUUACGUUUUCAGGAUUUCUAUUGAUAACUCAAAAGGAUAUAUUGAUACUUUUUUGAACUGUUAUUAUACCUGAUUAGUUUAAUAUGUUGAUAGCCAUAGAGGAAAUACCAUUUUCUUUCUUCUUCUCCUUCCAGUUAUCUAAAUUGAAUUCAUUUCGAACUCAAAUGAAACCUUGUUCCUUACCAUUUGAGUCAUGGAAUGAAUCCGCUUCUCUAAUUUUCAAUCACUUGGAACUAAAGAUGAUGUACUAAUGGAAAUUUAUUGGACUUGUUAGUUAUAGUCACCACUAUUUUGUAGGAAAGUGGAUGAUUCUGGUCUCAUCAGCUUAAAUGACGUGAGACCAUUGUUUUGACUGUUAUCUUGCAGGGCAUAGGGCCGCGGGUGCUGUGGAUAGGGAUAGGCGGUUCAAUAUUCUUUGGUGUUCUUGAGAGGACGAAAAAGCUGCUCUCUAACAGUGGCCCAAUUCACCCCAGUCCAGAUUCUUUGAAGCAGGACUAACAUAAUACUAUCAGGUUUAAUUAGUUCAUGAAAUUUACUUCCAAAAUGAGAUUCGUGGCAUCAUGUAAUAGAUUUGUAGGAAUUUGGUGAAUUUGGUGGAUUUUAGUGCAAUAUGAGUUCUGCCUCCUUUGGACCAUGUUUCUAUCAAGUAGCAGAGAACUGAGGGCCUUGUGUCUCUUUAUGGAAAUUUUACAUAAUUUUAUGAACUCGAUGUAUAUUAAGGGAGUACAGAGAACAUUAGUUGAAUCUUUUAGAUAGAGUAUUAUUUGAAAUAAUAUUUUUUGUUAUUGAUACGAUAGAUUAUCCUACACUAAGGGGGCGGAGAAGGAUCUAAAGAGAUCUAAAGGUAAUCCGGAGAGGAUUGAACUACCACCGGAUCAGCGCAUCCGUCUGGAUUUUUUAAGCAGAGUCACUUUUUAAAUGUGGCAAAUUGGUUGCCUCCCAUCCCACCAAGCUUUAAUGCAUUGGUGGUGGUCACCGAUCCAAAGACUGGUGGUUGUAUUAUUUGAAAUAAUUAUUGUAGCACUUUUUGUGAUGUGAUAUAUAUGAGAUAAACAAAAAUGAUUGAAAAUAUAAAAAGAUAGAUUGAAAAAUACGUGUAUAAUAUAAGUGAAAUAUUAUUUGAAAAAAUGUAAUUAUCCAAACAAUACUUCAGGAAAAAAAGGUGUUUGGAUAGGAGAUUAUUUGGGAUAAUUUUUUUUAAGAAAAAUACUGUAGUGUUUUUUUGAUUUGAUGUAUGUAAGAUAAAAAAAUUGAUUGAAAAAUAUAUUGAUAAUACAAGUAGGUUAGUGUGUGUAAAUAAUGUGAAAAUAAGGUGCAAUCCAAAUGCACCAUGGAAGUGUGCAGAGGGAGAGAGAUAUAAGAUUUAAAGAGGAGGAAAACAUUGGCAGCGUACGAAGAGGCCGAGAAUAUAAUGAGUAUCAUCCACGUCCCAGCCAACACAAGAAAGGUUUUGACCAAUAAUUUUAUGAUUUAUUCGUUUUACGAAUUAUAUAAACCUAGACACUCAAUUAGUGAUUCUAAUAGAACUAUGCCGAGAUGCUUGGUCGCCAUUAAGGUCUUCCAUUCAUAGAUUAGUAUAUUCUAACGAGUUGUGAGUACUGAUAUACGUCACAUGUUACUAGAUGAGGAUAUAUGAAACUUCUAUAAUUGUUAUUUUUAUCAAAAUUGCACUGCGAACCUUAGAGUUUUUCGUUCGAAAAAUUAGAGCAUAAGAGUUGUUGUUAUUUAGUGAGUUAAUCGAGUAAGGCCACAAGAUCGAUCAAAAGUAUUCAAUUAGUGCAAAUUAGGCCAUAAAUAUGGUCCUAAUUUGUCAAAUUGAUUGUGUUGAAAACGAGAUCAAAAAAGGAUUAGAGAGAACUGUUGGUCGCUGCAAGUUAUCAAGUUGAAGGAUUUGAUUUGUUUAGCAGUCAUAGACCGGAAAUUUGACAAAGGGAGAGAGGAACAACUGAUGGAGGUAAUUAAAAUUUUCCAGCAAUGAUAAUGGUGCAAAAAGAAUUUACUAAUGGUAAAAAGUUCAAAAUUUUGCACACAUUUAGCGGUGGCGAUGAAAUAUUCAAAUGAUCGAGAAUAACGAAAACAUAUCUCAAAAAGUGUGGUUUAAGUGAUGUUUUUGGAUUAAGUUUUAAAAUCGUUUGCCCAAAGAAGUUUGGAAAAGGAAGUUAAGGUUAUUUUUUAAAAUUAUGUGAAAAUCAAUAAUUGAAGAGCUUUACAAAAGACUUUUGCUCUGUUUGGAUUAACUGUAUUUGGAGGUGUUUUUAAAAAAUUUUAUUAUAGCAGAGUUUUUAUAGUAUAUGUUGAGAUAUUUUUAGAAUAUAUUUUGGGAUAUUUAAGAGUAACAGAGUUUUUAGAAUAUUUUUUAAACAUUAAAAAAAAUUGGACUACUUUUUAAAGUACAUUUUAGAGUACUUUGUAAAAAAUUUUAUAGGAUUUGAAAAAUUGAUGAAUCCAAACAAAGCAAAAUUGUCAUUUAUAUAAUGAUGGAAUUUUCACAUGAGUAUGCUUACAAGUCAAAAAUUGGUUUAGAGUGGAAGUUGGCAGGGAGAGAAGAAAAAACAUUUGUAUUAGUCUUUUUUGUCCUUGUUUUUCUUUCACAAUCACAAAUUCUUCAUAAUGUAGAUCAAAAUUGUCAUUCUUAUCAAUAUCUUCGUAAAUGACUUCAUCAUCGAUAUACAUGUCUGCAUUGAGAUUAAUUUUCGAAUUUUAAAACCAAUUUUAGACCUGUAACCAGGCCUAUACGGAAAUUCCAUCGUGAUAUAAAUGACAUUUGAUCUGAAAAUUUGAGGUGCUCGAGAUCAAGAAAAAGUAUUUUGUAAAGCUCUUCAAUUAUUGGUUAUCGCAUGAUUUUGAAAAAUAAUUUUGCCCUCCUUUUCCAAACUUCUUUGGACAAACAAUUGUUGAAAUUUAUUUCAAGAAUAUCACCUAAACCACACUUGUUUAGAUAUCUUUUCAGUAUUCUUGACCAUUUGAAUUUUUCACCACCACUAGAGGUCGUGGAAAAUUAGUGACUUUUAGAGUGGGAAAAAUCCACUUUUCCUCCGUAAACUUUGAAUUAGGAACACAUUUCAUCCCCAAACUUUUAGAAGCAGCACAUUUAAUACAUGAAUUAACAAAUUCUGACCACAUUUAGUCCAAAAAUAGUAAAUUGUUCAAUUUGGACGAAGAAGGCUAGCAUGUCUAGCACACGGCCAUUAAGUAAAAACAAUUUUUUAGUCAAAAUCAACGAUCAUGUGCCAAACAUGUGAUCUUUUUUAUCCAAAUUGAACAAUUUAUCGUUUUGGACUAAAUGUGACCAGAAAUUAUUAAUUUAUAUACUAAAUAUGUUGUACCUAAAAGUUUGUAGAUGAAAUGUGUCUCUAGUCAAAGUUUAGGAAUGAAAAAUGGAUUUUUUCCCUUUUAGAGUGGAAGGCAAUGUGGCAAUAAUUCGUAACAUAAGGAUGUAAAAUGUCAAAGAUGACAAGUGUGAAUGUAGAGAAGGCCUUAAAGUGGAAAGUGAAAUUUGUCUAAAAUCUUGUAGUAAUUGACAAUUGUAACAUUUAUAUUCCCAUUUCUUUUACUUUAUUUUGCUCAACCUAGAUACUUUCCACCGGUCUGGCUCCUGUGGAGGAGGAGAAUCUCCAAUACCCACAAAAACCCAAAUUUUGACCAAUCAAGACUAUCCAUCUCAGCUACAUUUACACUCAUAUCUCCACCUUAUCCACUCUCUACCACUAGUCUCCUUGCUCCAAAAUCUAAAAACCAUCCCUCUCCACACGCCUUCUUCUCAAUCUCCUAUACUCUCAUUCCUACCAUACUCUUCUUCUCUUGCAAAUCUUAUUUUCAUCCCACAAAAACUUAACAAAAAAUCCAGCAAAAUGUCUCUCACAAUUCCCACAAAUCUUUCUACAGCCAUUGCUACACCAAAGCUGAAUUCCCAGUUCAGCACAAAGCCCAGAGCUGCAACAAUUGUAUGCUCUGCUAAUUCUCCCAACCAAAGCACAUCAACCUCAGAGCAACCUUCACCACCAUCACUCAAGGCAUUUUCUGCAGCUCUUGCACUUUCUUCCAUUCUUUUAUCGGCCCCGGUGAUGCCCGCCUCGGCCGACAUCGCUGGCCUCACACCAUGCAAGGAGUCCAAGCAAU